GGGGGGGGGGGGGGGGGGGGGGGGGCAAGCCCUGCUGGUUAUAUAUUAAUAAUAAAAAGGGGGUUUGUACAAGGAAAAGGAAAAAUAAAAGACUGAAAGAAAAAGAUAUUAAAAAUUAGAUAGCCAGAUAUCUAUGCUUCUUUGCCCUAUGUAUAACCAUUGCAAAUUAUUUCUUGAAGAUGUGUCUACAUCCUUGCACCGAAGGUGCUUGAUUGUCAAAGAUCAGGUUAUUCAUUGAUGUCCAGAUGUUCCACGUCAUAAUGAUAAUUAUUUUCAUGAAGAAUGAUUGCCCAAUCUGAUCCUUAAGAGACUGCAAAUUAUCAUACCCCGAAAUGUUGUCCUAAGAUGCACAGAUUUAUUUGGUCCCAACAUAGUUUGGCGAAAGGGCACCAUAAGAAGAGAUGCAGAACCAUUUCCAAAGUAUCAUCCCGGCAAAGGACACGAUUGUAGCUUUGUAAUUCCAUAUUUUUUCUUUGCAAAAUAUCUCUUGUGUUGAGCUGAUCUUUCAACAUAAGUCAAAAGAAAACCAAUUGCUUUGUUUGAUAACAGCUAUUCCACAACCAGUUAUACACCUGAUGAAUGUUGGAAUGUCCUUUCAUGAAUUUGUAGGCUUUGCUUGAGCAGAAAAUUCCUGUUCCCCAAAUAUAAGUCCAGGAAUCAUGAUUUUCCUGUUGUUGAAAGGCUGCCAGAUUGCCUUGUAGUUGCAGGAAUUGCUCAUAAGCUUCGGAUGCGAGUGGCAGGUGAAAUAGUGAGUUAAGCUGUGCAGUCCAAGCUGCCUUUCUUAGGUUCCAUUUGAUACCAGGGGUUAAACUUUAGCUCCUGUCACAUCGGAUGUUAGAUACUAAUUAAGAGUAUUAAAUAUAAGGUAAUUAUAAAACUAAUUGCACAGAUGGAGGCUAAUUUGCGGGACGAAUCUUUUAAGCCUAAUUAGUCCAUGAUUUGAUGAUGUGUUGCUACAGUAACUAUUUGCUAAUGAUGGAUUAAUUAGAUUUAAUAGAUUUGUCUCGCGAAUUAGCCCAGGGCUUCUGCAAUUAGUUUUAUAAUUAGCUCAUGUUUAGUUCUUCUAAUUAGCAUCCGAACAUUCAAUGUGACAAGAGCUAAACUUUAGCCCGAGGAUCAAACACGCCCUUAAGCUGAUGCUUUUAUUUUUGGCAAAAGAGAAUAACUCUGAAAAAGCUGAUGCUUUUAUUUUUGGCAAAAGAGAAUAAUAACUCUGGAAAACUGAUGCUGGAGACCAAUCCUCCCCAUAAAGUCAUUCCGCAAGUAAACUCAUCUGCCAUUCCGAGGGUUUGGGAUGGCCGUACCUUUGUAGAGGUUUAAGAUUUUCUCUUGCCUGUUGCCAGCGCCCUCGGCUACUCCCAUUCUUUCUUUUUUUUUGAACGAAUGGGCACGGGAUAGUGCCUAUUUCAUUGAGAAAGUAGAUAAUUACAGAUUUUUACGGUAGAGAUACAAGGUUUCCUUUUCCUAUCACGAUUACUCUCUGGAUAAGAAUUGCGCUAGUGCUCUCGCCCCCGCUAAAAUCCAUGUGUCUGCUUCCGCUUUGAUUUGUGCCAGCAGGGAGGUUGCGGCCAUCCCUUGAUGGUCGAAAAUUCGUCGAUUGCGUUCCUUCCAAAUUUCCCAUAUUACCAGCAGGCCCAUAGAGCAAGUUCCUUUCCGAGGAGCUUCUGUCCUUGUAGUCAUAUUUAUCCACCACUCAAGAGCAUUGGUAGAUGGUGGCCAUUCCGAAGGGUGUAAACUGGGUUGCGAGGCCCAGGUGGUAACAAGACUCCAUAUUCGUUUGGUGUAUCUGCAUUGUGUCAGGAGAUGAUGAGCUGUCUCUUGUUGUACUCGGCAUAGAGGACAACAUGGCGAGUGCGGCCACCCCCUUCGCGCAAGUCGAUCAGCUGUCCAAACCCGAUCCUGUAGUAUCAGCCACGCGAAAAAUUUGCAUUUCGGUGGUGCCCAGCAUUUCCAUAUUGUUUUACUGUGCGGUGCAUAAGUGGAUCCUAAGAACUGCGCCUUGUAUGCUGAUGCCGUUGAGUAUUGUCCAUUUGGCGUGAAUUUCCAGCAGAUUGUGUCUUCGUGUUGUGCUUGGAGGCUCACUGUCGCUACUAGCCGCCAUAGUGUGACGAAUUCUUGUAAGUGUCGCGUUGUUAGUCCAGCGUGGAUGUUUAUGUCCGUCACCCAUCUAUUGUUGUGUAAUGCCUCUGCGAGAGUUUUAUGCUUCCCCCUAGAUAGCUUAUAUAUGUUGGGCGCAAUGUCCUUUGGUCGGGUACCCCUUUCCCAAGCUGAGUGCCAGAAGCUUGUUUUGCAUCCAUUUCCCACUGUGAUAGCUGUGCAAGCCGCGAAUAAGUGUCGAUCAGAGUCGUCGCAUGGAGUGUCCAUUCCAAUCCAUGUUUUCCCCGGGGACUCCCAUUCAUGCCAAAGCCAUCGGAGUCGCAAUGCUCUAGCAAAAUUAUGAAGGUUCAGUACUCCUAGACCACCGUUUUCCUUUGGUAAGCAGGAUGUGAUCCAGUUGACCUUGCACUUGCCACCUGUUAGCAGAUUGUCUCCGGCCCAGAUGAACCUCUUCCUUAUUUUGUCUAGUUCUUCCAGGACUUCGCAUGUUGGUUUUAAUACAGUUAGCAGAUAUAAAGGUUGCGCAGAAAGCACAGCUUUGGCGAGGCAGACUCGGCCUGCUUGUGUGAUGUUGCGAUUUUGCCACCCAGAGGGUUUCUUUGCUGCUUUGUCUAUUAGGGGUUGGAAGUCCACUUUCCUUAGGCGCCUUAUCACAAGCGGUAGCCCGAGGUAUUUGAAUGGGAAGCCGGUGCGAGUGAUUGGCCAUUCGGAUAGGAUUUCGUCGAGGUCUACGUUACUGCAGCUAAUGGGAGCCAUUGUUGUCUUUUGUAGAUUUGUUUGGAGUCCUGUGGCCUCUCCGAAUAAAUGUAGGAGUUUUGUGACAUUCGUGACAUCUUCCUUUGUUGGCUUUACGAAGAUAGUCGCGUCAUCGGCGUACAUAGAGAUGUUAGUGCGCGGCGUGCGUCCGCCCAGUUUUUGAAGUAAUCCCAUUUCUGUCGCCGUGUGUAUUAGUUGGUACAGUGGAUCUAUCUCCAGGAUGAAAAAGAAGGGGGAGAGGGGGUCUCCUUGCCGUAGUCCUCGCCCAUGCACAAUUGCGUCUGAUGGAAUUCCGUUUAUUAAGACUUUGGAGGUUGAUGUGACUAGUAAUGCUGUGAUCCAGUUACGCCAUCUUGCAGAAAAACCUCUAUGUUGCAAUAGUUCAAGCAGGUAGUCCCAGCGGACAGAAUCGAAAGCCUUUCUCCUAUUGUUUUUUGUUACGCCAUUCUUUUUUGUUUGAAGCGAAAUUGUUUGUUGCCGACGUUUUAUAUGGCACCACACCCUGAUUUUCUUUCUCCUAUUCUUUUUUUUUGCGAGAAGGGAUAACAUCAUAUUAAAGUAAUCGAAAAUGCUAUAAGCUGUGCGUCCGGACGUGAGUCCCCUCGUCGAACGGCUACGUGGUUCAGUCUGGUUCAAGCGUUCUCUUCCACCAAAUACUUCCAGACAUGGUUUCACGGAAGUCUCCCCUGCCUUAUCCACCCACCCCUAUCCCUUCACCCACCGCUCCUUUCACCCAACAAAUCUCUCUCUCCUUCAUCUUUCUGUCUAAAGCUCUGCUCCGCCAGGAAGUGGGCUUGGCCGCCAGGGAGCUGCUCCGCUGGGAAGGCCGGGUGUGGGCCGCCGCUCCCCCAAGGCUAGGGGCGAGCCGCGCCGGCCGACGGAGGAGCUACCGCAUCAGGGGACGGCCCCGACGCUGCCGACCCCUUCCUCGUCCGCCACGCUUUGUCGCUGCCCACCCCGACCACGGCGGCCUCCCCGUCAUCGUCGGCGGUCGUGCCCACCCAGACCGUCGCCCCUUCUCCUACCCCGCCUCGGCCUCCGCCACCGCAGCCUCCCAGACCGCCACCUCUUCUCCUACCCCGCCUCAGCCUCCUCCUCCACAACCGCUCAGGCCGCCACUCGAGUGUUGGGGGCUAGGGGCAAGCCGCACCAGCCACUGGAGGAGCUGCUCCGCGGGUAAGGGCGCCGUCCACCCGCUGUCAUCCUCCUCAUCCAUCGUUUCCUAACACUGGAUUCCACUAUGCAGUGCUCCUCUCGUCAGGUUUUGCUGCAUGUUGCAAGUGUAUAUUCCAUGUGUUUCAGAUGUUUCAAAUGAAUAUUGCAAGUGUUUUAUAUGGAUGUUGCAAAAGUAGAUCCAGAUGUUGCAUAUGUUCCAUGUGUUUCAGAUGUAUGUGGCAAAAGUAGAUCCAGAUGUUGCAGUGGCUAUACACGUAUGGGCAAACGUUUGUUCCAAAUGUUUUAUCUAUUUUUCAUACGUAUAUUGCAAGUGUUUUAUCUAUGUGUUGCAUAUGUUUCACACAUAUGUUACAAGCGUUUCAUCAGGAUGUCGCAUAUAUUUUGCAACGGCUUUUCAAGUUUUUCCCGGCAUUUGCAAGUUUUUGCAAGUGUUCCAAACGUAUGGUUGUAUUUCAACUGCUUCGGACCUAUGUUACAAGUGCUUCAUCUGGAUGUUGCAAAAAGUAGAUCUGGUGUUGCACAUGUCGCAAUGGGACCCACGUGUUGCAGCUACUGGGCCGCUGUUGAGUGGGCCCACACGGUCCCACACGCAUGUGCAUAGGAAGAGGACGAGGGGGUAGGGGAGGCGAGCGGCCCAGGUGGGGUCGGGCGGCGCGUACCCCAUGUGGGCACGUGAAACGAAGGCAUACAUGAAUUUUUCCUGGGUUCAUCUGAUGGCUACUCUUCACCCAAGCGAAGGGCUGCGCAUGCGUCCGACAUUUAGCGCCCGGAUCGGAUGUCCAGCGCUAGCAGCUCCGUAAAGUAAAACAGAUACAAGUACAAGUGCUUCCCUUUUAGCGAAAUGGCCCUACGCAAUUCAAAAAUUACAACGAAGCCCCUCUUCUUCUUCCUUGGUUCUCUCAUCCUGUGGAUCUCCUCGACCUGCAUCGCUGCGCACCAGAGCAGACCACCACCAUCGUCACCUCGCACCCAGACCAAGAAGCCGACACCCAACAGAGCUCGGUAGAAGAACAUCGGCCGUCAAGCUUUUGCAUCUAGCAUCCCAUCCUCUCCACCUCCUGUGUGAUCCAGAGCACAACCCCUACACAUGUGAAGAGAACACCGGCAAACCAAAACCCGAUCCGCCCUGCAGGCAAUCUACAUCGGGCCACCAUGGAACAAUGGAGCAACCCAAUCAGAAAACAUAUCCGCCGUCAACAAAGAACUCGCCGACCCGGAAAGGAAGGCUACCCAAAAGGAAGCACAACAGCCCCAUCCCAUCAAAGGAACAGAGCACAAACCUCCUCCUUGACUCUCCACCCGAAUUGGUGCCGUCGUCGCCACUGUCACCGGAGAAGAGAAGAGGAAACAAAAUCCACCCGAAAGAAGCGUCUGAGAUUAUGCCGGAACCGCUACCAUCGCCUUCGCUUCCGCCGGGGAACCCAAAGCCACAAGACAUCGCCGCCGGCGACAUUUGCGGAAACCCUAGCCUACUAGAAAACAACCUAAAAACUAGUAGCUAUACUACGUCGGUCGCCGAUCCGCCCGUUCCCCACCCACUCCGGCGCCAGGAGGGUCGCUGGAUGGAAGGGGAUUAGUUGGAUCGACGCUAAAAGCAUCGCCGCCCUCCUGCCGCCUUUGGAGGUGUUUGGAUCUUUAGUCCGGACUAAAAUUCAUGUCACAUCAAAUAUUAGAAGGCUAAUUAGAGGGACUAAGCAUGAGCUAAUUACAAAACUAAUUACACAGAUGGGGGCUAAUUCGCGAGAUGAAUCUAUUAAGCCUAAUUAAUCCAUCAUUAGCACAUAUUUAGUGUAGCAUCAUAUUGUCAAAUCAUGAACUAAUUGGGCUUAAUAGAUUCAUCUCGCAAAUUAACCUCCAUCUGUGCAAUUGGUUUUGUAAUUAGUCUAUAUUUAAUACUCCUAAUUAGUAUCUCAACAUUCGACGUGAUAUGAAUUUUAGAAGCUCCUAAAGAACCAAACAUCCCCAAAGUUUCUCAGUGACCGUGGAAAUGGAACGGGAAGGUGCGAGAGCCGGUAGCUUUUCUUUCUCUUUUUUCUCGAGAACACCAAACUAGCUUCUCGUAGUUUUGCCACCACGUGUAUAAAAUAUGAAUAUAAAAUUACACCAAACCAUCACACCAAAUUAAACUGCCGUGGUUGGAUACCCGGACUAAACUUUAGAUCCUGUUUGGCAUGACUUUAGAGUUGAACUUUAGCAACUUUAGCAAAAAUUCCAGCCGAACACCCCAGCUCCAAAACUUCAUGGAGCUGCCAACUCCAUGGAGCUGUAGUGCAAAUGGAGGUGGACUACUGGAGCACCACUUUUGCUGCUCCAAAACCACCUUUUUUGAACCUCCUUGUGGAGUUGGUGGGUAAUUACCCACCAAUGCCACUAGUUAAAAAAACGAUUUGCUUCUAUUCCUCCCGAGACAACCCUGCGCCGCGACUCCCCUCCCCGCCGCCGCUGCUUCUCGCCUGGCGCGCGCCUCCACCGCGCCAGCGCCGCCCAUCGCCUCGCCUCCUGCGCAACCCCUCCCUCACGGCGCCGGCCGCCGUGGCCCCUCCCUCCCCGUUGGGCAUGCCGCCAUGGCCUCCAAUCUACGGGCUCCCAGCACCGCGCGCUCCUCCUCCGUAGGAACCCGCCAGUCGUGAAGCGCGCCGCCACCAGGAGCCUGCGCUGGCUAUGCACCACCGCGGGAGCCUGCGCCGGCUAUGCGCUGCCGCUGGGUGUUCCGCCGGCCAUGCGGGGGAGCACCACCGCGCGGGGCCGCCGGUCAUCCGAAGGCGCCUGUCCUACCAAUGGCGGCAGCUCUGCAGCCACGAUGGGGGCGGCUCCUCCUUUUCCUCGGGCUGUUGCUCCACGCCUUGGCGCGCAGGGCCAUCAACGCAGCGGCGCCGUUUCGGGCGAGGGACGUGCUGCAAGCUCUUUGCUAGAGGCAGGCAAGCAGCCACUGAAAUUCCAACUCGUGGUCGUACUGAAAAUAAGUCAAUGGGUAAAGUCUGAAAAAUUAUCUGCUGCAUUUGAAUCCAUUUUCUUGGGUACAUACUUUUAGCUUGCGCGGUUCUGUGAAAAUAUUGCAUGUCCUCAACAAGUUGCUUGGCUACCUGAGGAAGAAGAGGAGGGGAAUAAGAGGAUGACAGGUGGGAUCAUGAGUUGGGGCAAGAAUGACAAUUCACCUUCAAACUUCUCAAGCUGGGGACACCUUCCCAGCCAAACACCUCCACCAGACAACUCCAACUUCACCCAGAGCUGGCUCCGCCUGGAGUUUUGGAGCGGAGCAACUCCACCCAAAGUUGGAGCCAUGCCAAACAGGACCUUAGUCCAUGUCACAUCGGAUGUUUGCAGACUAAUUAGGAGUAUUAAAUAUAGUCUAAUGAUAAAACUAAUUGCAUAAAUGAGAGCUAAUUCCUGAUGCGAAUCUAUUAAGCCUAAUUAGUUCAUGAUUAGCCCAUGUGAUGCUACAGUAAACAUAUGCUAAUUAUGGAUUAAUUAGGCUUAAUAGAUUCGUUUCGCGCACAUGGGCUGAUAAUUGACUAAUUAUGCUUAAUAGAUUCGUCUGGCGAAUUAGCCCUAGUUUAUAUAAUUAGUUCACGUCUAGUCCUUCUAAUUAGUAUUAAACAUCCGAUGUGACUCGAAUCCAGGAUCCAAACACCCCCCUCGAUCAAAAAAAACACGAAUCGAUUGAACUGCAGCUCAAGAGAAUUCAGACUAGGGACCAGAUAGGAUGAUUCGGACUUCAGACGUUACGGCCUGAUUUGGUUUCUCCUACUUAUUUUUAGCACCCAUCACAUCAAAUGUUUAGAUACUAAUUAGAAGUAUUAAACAUAGACUAUUUACAAAAACCCAUUACAUAAGUGGAGGCUAAACGGCGAGACGAAUCUAUUAAGCCUAAUUAGUCCAUGAUUUGACAAUGUGUUGCUACAGUAAAUAUUUGCUAAUGAUGGACUAAUUAGGCUUAAUAUUUGUCUCGCCGGUUAGCCUCCACUUAUGUAAUGGGUUUUGUAAAUAGUCUACGUUUAAUACUUCUAAUUAGUAUCUAAAUAUUCGAUGUGACACGUGCUAAAAAUAAGCAAAGGAGCGAUCACCCCAAGUUGCGUGAUGUCGUCAUGAGCGCUCGCGAUGAACCGAGCGUGACGUGCGAGCGCGAUUGCUGCCGUGAGUCCGUGACCCGUCAUCUACUCCACCACCGCCCUCCACACUCCAGGCUCCACCAUUCAGCUCUCAGGCGAGGGAAAAAGAUUGCCCCGCCCCCGAAUGAAUUAGGUUCGGCGAAUCUGAUCUUCCGGCGGGAGCGUUCACACGAGAGACGGGGACGCGGACGCGGACGUCCAGAAGCAGAGCGUCUGUUCCGAGUUCCAACAGGUAGCAGCUGGAGACGCGGUGCUGAUUCUACUCCAAUCAUGCUAGUGCGGCAUAGAUUCUACUCUGAUCAUGCGAGUGCGUGUCCAAAACCUUGCAUGGUGUCAUCUGACGCACCCCAACUGUGCACGCUCUGUUUUCCUGUGGAUUCCCUUUCAUUCGAUACUCGUGAUUCAGCACCGACGCCAGUGGAGUACUGUAUAACAAAAGUUUUAUGCAGAUUGUCUGCCCAUUUGUUCAUGACAACAGUAAGGCUGUAAGCUGGCUUCAACUCCAUCAAAAGCUCCAACUCUAACUCCUUUGAUGAAACUUUUUUGAUGGAGUUGAAGCUAUUUUGAAAUACAUUUGGUAAAACGACUUCUCCUGUAUUUCAUGAAUGCAUGGAAAUAUCAAAUAUCCAAUAUACCCAUGACUAUGUUCUAUUACAUGUUACAGAUGAAUUUUAUAUUUUCUCUCAAUUUCAUAUGAAAUGAAAAUAUUAAAAAUAAGUGCAAUUACAGAUUAACCAUUUUUUUCUUUUCCUUUUAUCCUUUUUCCUCAUUUUUUCUCCCUUCCGUUUUCCCUUCUUUCUUCUCUCUUCUUUUCUCUCAUUUUCCCUCCUUAUCCAUUCUUUCCUUAUCCUUUCUCCAUCAUUAUUUAGCAUAAACUUUUAAAAUUAGGAUGGAAAAUCACCUCACAGAAUUAGUAGAAACUACUUUUUCCAGCUCCCAAUCUCUUAGAUCAUUUUAGAGAAUCACUUCACAGAAUCAGCAGAGAAUCAUUUCUAUUUGAAAAACUAUUUAAUAAAACUUUUAGAUUCGAUGAAGAAUCAGCUACGGAAGCUCCGCCAGCCGCACAUGAAACGCGCGUCCACUGAAAAGCAACUGAAAACUGCGCAAAGCCACUCCCAGUGACCCAGUCCGGCAGUCCCAGUGCACCGUUGAGUCCGAGUCCCGACGCCAGCCGGUGACCUGGGCGGCACCGGCAUCCGAGUCAAACGCCGUGCGCAAGUGUGAUGAAUGAGCCCACCCGGCCACCCCACUUCCCGGGCCCCACCAUGCCAUUACCACUCCCGAGGCUCAGCCGCCGCGGGCCCAACUCCCUGUUCCACUCCUAUCCACCAACGGGCGGGAUGCGUCCAACCGACACCGUCCAGGAGGGCCCACAGGGGGCAUCUGCUAGACCCACGGUGGGGCCGGGGCGGCAGGUCGUGUUGUGCGCGGCUCGCAGGCGUCCGUCCCGCGUGACGCACGCCGCUGGCGACGCCAACCCGCCGCGGUCCAAUCGCGCGCGCAGCCGGGCUCGCUCGAAUCCGCGGCGGGGCUUGUCCGAGUGACGGGAGCGCGGGCAUCUUUCGCAGCCGUCCGAUCCGGAUUCGACGGCGACCGUCUGCCCUGGGGUUGGGGUCUUGGGGAGGCCGGCUCAUUGGAUGUUGAAUAUACGGCGCUGAUUGGACGGGGUCCACAGGGUCAGCGGCUGAGGCGCGCCCGAUGGAUAUCCGAAGGGCCUGUUUGGCAACCAAGUGUUAAAAUUUAACACCUGUCACAUCGGAUGUUUGGAUGCUAAUUAGGAGUAUUAAAUAUAGGCUAAUUACAAAACUAAUUGCACAGAUGAAGUGUAAUUCACGAGACGAAUCUAUUAAGCCUAAUUAGUCCAUGAUUUGACAAUGUGGUGCUACAGUAACCAAUUGCUAAUGAUGGAUUAAUUAGGCUUAAUAGAUUCGUCUCGCGGAUUAGCACAGGGUUCUGCAAUUAGUUUUAUAAUUAGCUCAUAUUUAGUUCUCCUAAUUAGCAUCCGAACAUCCGAUGUGACACUGUUAAAGUUUAACACCUCGUAUCCAAACACCCCCGAAGUGUUGGCCUGUUGGGCAGUAAAUAAAUGGGCGGUUUCACAGCUACACCCCUCGGAAAGUGAUUGAUGCGUGCGGUUGUCAAUUAGGCGAUUUUUUUGUCCGUACCCUCCAAUAGUUCAAAAUUGAAUAUGUGCAUGCUUGUGAAUCUGUUCGGCAGUGAUUUUUUAGGCUGCGAUGCAGCUGCAGCGGCUAUGGUCAGAAGCAUAACUACAGUAAAAAUGCAGUCAAGCAGCUAAAUAAGAUUGGAAAGGAAUGUUUAAGUCUGUAGGCUGUAGCUUGCAGCCGUUCAGCUUGGCACGCAGCAGUAGCUGCAGCCCUAGCCAUCCAAAAAAAAUAGAAGCGAACGUGUACCCAUGUUCAUCCUAAUUAUAAUUAUCGAUUUAGAUUUUGUUAAAGUUAUUACAUAUCCUCCACCGCGGACCGGCAUGACGCUAAACCCGAGGUUUGAUUUUACGUUUUCCGUGAGUAGAAGAACAACCUCCACUAGUCAUCCAAGUUAUUGCUUGGUUCUCUCUAUCGAUGUACUACAUGCUAAUAUGUUAUUGUUUAUGCACAAAUCUCUAUGUUACUCUCCAAUUUUCCUAGUCUAACUGUUAGGUGACUAGGGUGAGGUUAACCUCACGCAGUUUGCCCCCCUUUGCCCAGGGGCAGAUCUAAGAUCAAAGAUUGUGGAACUCAUCUUUUCCUUCUUCUUCCUCCCUCCUCUCUUUCCCUUCUUCUUCUUUCUCCUCCUCUUCUUCUCCUCUUCACCUAUGGCUAAAAUUUGUUGGGGGUUUCCAUGAAAUCCAUGAGGUAGGGGGCUGGAGCCCCCCAACCCCCACGUUGGAUUCACCCCCUGCUUGUGCCGUAGCUUUUACACUCAUCCAUCCUAUGCUAAGUUCCAUCGUUACCUAAUAGAUAUGUAAUCAUGACAUCCUUCAUGUCAUUAAAUAUUAAGCAAAAGACAGGUCUAUCCAUUAUUAGGAACAUAAUAAAUGCUAAUUUUCAUGAAUGCCUUGAACCAUCAUUGGUGAAAUGGUGAAUCCAUAGCCAACGGCAUGUUCUUUUCAUUAUGAGAUUCUUCGUUGCAACGCACGUAUGUUUUGCUAUUGGGAUGUGAAUGAGUUUAUAUUUGAACCAUAGAUAGGCCAUUUUAAGUGGACUGCAGCUGAUGGGGCAUAUGAUAAACCCCACUUGUAUAUCUAUUUCUUUGUAUUUUCAAAAGAAAUCCACUUAAUAUCAUCCUGCAGCAUAGACUUAGCGCAAUUAAUUUGAGAGCAAUUCCAUAGUCAUCUAUGAGUGUGCAAUAUAAAUUUUCCUUGGGGUACAUUCUACCUUCUAAUGAUAACUAUAUUGAAACUUGAGACCUUCCAAAGACAUGGACGCUGGACCAUCAUGAAUAAAACGUUGAAAAAUUGUUGUUUUUCUUCGAAAGAAAUGAAGAAUUGUUGUUGCACCUACCAGUCUACCAUUACCCAACAAGAAAUGGGCGCAAUAAUGCAAAUACCCGAGGACCUGAGGAGGAAACGCACCCACGUUUCCGCCACCAAUAAAGCCACCAACUAAAAACAGCGAGCCAGCUCUGCUUCCUUCCGAUUCAGCAUUUCUGUGCCACCUGUUUCCGCCUUCCGCUGCUGGGGUUUUAGACAAAAUCACUCUUCCCAUUUCUCGCGUCCCCAGACCACGAGACCACGACCACGAGCAAGGCUACCCACUCCCUCCCCCCCUCGAUCCGCUGAUUUGUUUCACCCAUCUUCCUGCCUCCACGGAUCUGCUCGUCCUGGAAGGGGAGGAGGACGCUGGAGGCGUCUUGGCGGCGAGGAUUUGCGAGCUGUUGUGGUAGUGGGACAUGAGGAUUUGCGAAUUGGGAGACGGUGAUGGGGGGCUGGCGGGUCAGCAGGAGCAGCAGGAGGAGGAGGUUGGGGCGAGCGGUGGCGGAGAGGUCGUAAGGCUGAAGGCGAAGCGCGCGCUAGUCGGUGCCGGCGCGAGGGUGCUGUUCUACCCGACGCUGCUCUACAACGUCCUGCGCAACCGCUUCGAGGCGGAUUUCCGGUGGUGGGAUCGCGUCGACCAGGUAGUCCUUUCGUUCUGCGCGGAUUGUGUGGUAAUUUCGGAUGCUAUUAUAGGCUCCUGCUUUAAUUUGCUUGCGAGUGGUGUGUGCUUAUUGACGUGUUCCUGCGAGUUCAGUACCGUAGUGUUGGAUUUGUCAUGCUCAGGUAGUUGGGUGCUUUUUUUUUAUCUUUUUUUCUCUGAAAUUAUAUCAUCUGUUUUUGGCAUUUGGUUUCAUGCUUUGCUCAUGGUAGCACUAUAUCUACUCGGGGAUUUGCCCUUGCUUUGUUAAACUCAUGUGUGCUUAAGAAUGACUUUUACUCAGCAUUAGGGAAAUCUAGCGCCUUAUUCUCCUAUCUUGGGACCAGUGGUUUCCCGUGCUUACUUGUGUCAGAUGUUCCAAUCUCAACCCAGUUGUAAGAAGAUUGUGGGUAGUUAUCCAUUAACAUAUAUGUUAGUUUAAGCUCAUCCUAUAGUAUUUUAUUUUAUUAUCUUAUUUGGCACCGUGGAUGGAUGUUCACAUUCCUAGGGCCACAGAGCUCUGCUUUUUCCACUAGUAGUAGCAAAAGGAAACGUCCAGCUAUGAGUACUGCGAUCUGAUUAGUGUUAUUAGUUGUUUCAUUUUUAUUUCACAGAACCUAGUAUUCUAAAUUUCUGAUAAGUGGUGCACUCUAAAAUGCCGCCUGAUUUUUCCAAUCUCCAUCCAGUUUAUUUUACUUGGCGCUGUUCCAUUUCCAAGUGAUGUUCCGCGUUUGAAGCAACUUGGAGUUCGAGGAGUUGUGACUUUGAAUGAACCUUACGAGACUCUUGUUCCGACAUCUUUAUACCAGGUAACUAUUCCAUUGUUCGCUAGUUGUGUGACUUGGUUUGUGUUUCACAUUAGAUAGAGUUGCCGCAUUAGAAUCUUGGACUCCAUUAUCUACUUAUUUUGAGAUUUGUCACUGCCCAAGUCAAAAUAUUUUUGUGCUGACUUUCAUGAAGUGCUAUUACACCUGUGCUUUGGUUGGUUCAGAUUUUAGAGCACCAUUAAUUGAACUGUUGUGCAUAUGCAGUGAGUAACAAUACAUGUUUUCACUUACUAGGCCCAUGAGAUUGAGCACCUGAUGAUUCCAACAAGAGAUUAUCUGUUUGCACCUUCGGUCGAGGAUAUUUCUCAAGCCAUAGAUUUCAUCCACCGUAAGUUAUUGCCCUUCCCUUCCUUAUCUUUAUAUGAAAAAACACACGAGGAAAAAUUCAUACUCUUCCUGAAACAUAACCCCAGCAUUGAUCAGCUGUUAUUCUUUUUUCCCCUGGUACCUGUGGUACGUUUUGUUAUGUAAUUUUUUUCUUCAAAUCAUAAGGAGAGCUAGACUCAAAUUAGGGAGCAAAGCAGGUGGCAGUUAACUCUGAUAAGGAAAGCGGGUUAUAUCUUGUGAUCACUGGUCAACUAAUGUUUAGUGAAUUAGGUAUCUAUUGCCAACUAGAUUCUGAUGUAGUAGUUAUGGCUACAUAGAAGUCGCAGCUCUUAUCUUUUAAUACACAGUUCAUUCCCCAACCUCAGGACUAAGGUUCUGUUAGAUGUCGCUGUAUCUGACAUCAUGCAUGACAACAUCAUCAUCAUCAACAACAACAACAACAAAGCUGUUCAGUCCCAAGCACGUCUGCUAAUGAAAAUAUUGGAACGAGACUAGCCAAGCAGCCAUCACAUAGUGUCUGUCAUUCAUUCAAAUAAUCUGGAAUUGUAUCCCACCAAAGUACAUAUACGAGUUUUUCUUGCCCAAAGUUCUUGAUUUGUAUGUGACAAACAACAAUAUAUGUGCAUCUAAAAUUGGUAGAUUAAAUAUUUAGUUGCCUGUUUUUCAGGGAACGCAUCACAAGGUGGUACUACCUAUGUUCACUGUAAAGCUGGAAGAGGACGUAGCACCACUAUUGUAUUGUGCUACUUGGUAGGAUGAACUUCAUUUGUAUUUGUACUCAGUAUGCAUGCUCCCAAUCAGUUUUCUGAUGACAAUCGUCUUGUUGCAGAUUAAAUACAGAAGCAUGACCCCUGAAGCAGCUUUGGAUCAUGUCCGAUCCAUUAGGCCUAGAGUACUUUUGGCACCAUCACAGUGGCAGGUAUGAAGUCCUUUUUUGUGAUUGCAUUCUAAGUAAUUAAGACAACCUACUGGUGCUAAGAUGUUUCAUGACAAUUGACACUAUUUGCAGGUUGUUAGCACAUUUGGGACUCUCGUCACUGGACAACUUCCAGUACGAAGUACAAAACUAGGCAGUUUCCUAGAAGCCAUUGAUGCUUGCCGCACAGACACAGAAUAUGAUGAUUACCAUGCGAUGGAGUUUGAUUACGAAGAUAGCGGCUUGCCACUUUCUCAAAUUAUGCUACCUAGGCCAACCAGCCCCACUGGCUGUAUCGAUGCUGUCCUUAUAACAGAGGCAGACCUUGAGGGCUAUGAUACUUAUGUUAAUACCAGGAAGGAUGCCCUGGAAGUAGCCACUCGCAGGCCCAUCAUGAGGAGAUUGUCCUGCCUCUUUGGUUCCCUGAAACUUAAUAGCAGCAACUGUGAACCAGCUCAAAGCUGCUUCAGUGAGGUUCGUGCCUGCUAGGUUGCUUCUUUUUCCCAGUUUUCCAUUUUGUGAAUGAAGAGUGUAUCUCUAGAUAGGCGUUCAGCCAAAUAGGAUUGUAGAAGCUGCGGAGUUUCUUCUAUAGCCAUGGCAAUGCCGCCACCGGGAAGAAAGUUGUGUGCACAUCCAUAGAGGUUCUAGUCCUUGAGUGUAGAGUUGUGAAUGUGUCGAUUAUCCAUGUUUUUCCUCGAAAACAUGUGAUUCAUUUGCAUCAUUGUUUCCUUGGAAUAAAAAGGCUAUUCCAGCCAACGGGGGUGCAGUGACCCCCCAAUUCGAUUGAUUCUUGACAAAUUUGUACCAUCUGUGACCUGUGAAUUCAUUCUGUGUACAAGAAAUUGAUUUCCUUUUGUGUUAGCCAAGGCUGGAGGACUUAACGUUGUCUCAUUUUGCUUUCGACUUUGCUGAAGCUAUGUCGUAUGUACUGCGAUCCUGGUUUCCUCAAUUUUUGCACAGUCCGUGACUGGGAUGUAUUCCGUGGAAUAUCCAAACGACGAAGCAACCAACGGCAACGAGCAUGCCAAACAACCAUCUCCAGAGUAGAAAGCGUGCCAAUUGAAACCCAAAUACUGAAAUCUCUCUCCAGACACACCGGAAGUGGAAUACGUCCGAGCGUCAAGCAAUGGAAAGGCGUUAGAAACUUGUGCUCCAAAGUGCACGAACGAGCACACACAGCAAUCUCGGACAGUGGAAAAGGAAAACGAAAACCCCCCUGCACCGUAGGAAAACAGGUUCCGCACGAAUCAAAGCCCGGAAACCAAAAGAAACCCAACAAAACCCCGCCCCCAGCCUCUCCAUUCCUCCCUCUCCCUCGCUCCCGCCGCCACACACGAUUGCGUUGCGGGCGCAAAGCGCGAGCCCGAGCCCGGCCAUGGCGCGCAUCGUGUCGCGCGCGCUCCCUUUCGCCUCGCGCCCGUCCCUGUACCUCCCGCCCCCGCCGCCGCUCUCCGGCGCGGCGCUGCUCCGUUCUGCGGCUACCGCGCCGCCGCCCCUACUACCCCCCGCGGCUGCCGCGGCACCCGCGGCCUCGCUGCUCUCCUGGCGCGGGCUCACGGCCGCCCCCGAGCCCUCGCUGGCGGCGCCGCCGCCGUUCGCGGGGCUUCUCUCUGGAAUCCGCGGGUUCCGCAAGGCGCGGCGCGGGCCGGCGGCGGCGAAGCGGCCGCAGCCGCAGGAUGCUGCGCCGCCGCCUCCCCCAUCCCCGCCGAAGGAGAGCGAGAUCGAGCUCAUCGCUCGCAUCGGCGUCGAGGAGGACAUGCCUGACGACGCAGAAGUGCUGGUACGCAUCGCGCUUUAUGACCCUUCUCUGUAUUCUAUAUAAUACUGCUCGUUUGGAGGUGUCAUUGUAAACACAGAUAAAAUUAUUGCGAUCGUUAUAUUUGGCGUACUGUGAGAUGCACCAUGUUUACACUGACAUUGCAGAAAACUUAACUGCAAGAUUGCUGCCUUGUUGUUUUGAUUAAUGCAGCUGUUCGUUUAAGGUAAUUGACUGAUUAUAAAUCAUGUUUUGCCAUUUUGAAUGGGUUGUGUUUCCAUAUUCUGAAUAAAAAUAAUUGGAGUGGCAGAUCCUGAAAAACACGUCUGCAUGAAGGGAGUACGUAUUUCAGGUAGAUCAACACCAGUCUUACUAGAGAUCUCUUUCACAAAGAUGCAAGUAGUUCUAGGAAAAUCCAGGUUACAACUAUGUACAUCCUCUAGUUGGCUUGUAGUUAUGGCUUUGAUUUUUGUAAUUGAUGUGUAUUGGUUACCUGAGUUAAUUCAUCUGCUUGUGCUAUAUACUGUUGAGUUCUGGUGUUAUUUGGCUUUGAGUUGUUCAAUUCUUCAUGGCGACGUAAGUUCAGGUAUGUUUGUAAUGUUGUCCAUUGUUUGUUAACAUGCCCUUGGUAAUGCACAUCCUUACAAAUAUCUUUACGCUAAAAGAAGGUUUGUGUUUCUGAUUGUGGGUCCUAGUAAUAUCUCCUUGGCCCUUAAUCAAUAGCCUGGCAAAAUGUAGGUAAUAGCUGGGUGUAGCUGUAGUUGAUUUGUCGUUCUGGUUUUGGUUUCAGUAAUGGGCAGUUGGGCACCUGUUACUUAACUUCGGCUGUCAAUGUUGUGUUCUAGUGUGAUAUUGCUUUUUCAGUGGUCUAUUUCCCUUAUGGUGAUGAAUUGUUCAGAUAUGUUAGUGAAAAAUCUGUCAACAUGUGUUUGUGCAGAACAUUGUAGAACUUCUAAAGCUAAAUGUUCCGAUGGCGAUGAAAAUUGCGCUUGAUGGACUUGUGGAUUCAAACUACAGCACGCGAGAUACUUCAAUAAGUGAUGUUGGGAAGUAUGAUAAGGUUGAGGUUUCUGUAUUGCUAUGCAAUGAUAACUUCAUUCAGAAUCUUAACAAAGAAUGGAGAGGCGAGGACUGCACUACUGAUAUGCUCUCGAUGUCACAGUACAUUCCAGAUCUUGAUGUUCCCAUUGUAUGUACACAUACCUUGUUUAAAUAUUGUUAUUCUCUUAAAUUUACCAAUGCCAUCUAACUCUCUUCUACCUUAUACUCUUUUAUGCAGCUAAUGUUAGGUGACAUAGUUAUAUCUGUCGAGACAGCUGCAAGGCAAGCUGAGGAGAAAGGUGUUACGCUUCUUGAUGAAGUGCGGGUGCUAGUGGUAUGAGUCUUCCCUUUUCCCCCUUCCUGAGCUUGUUUAAUUAUUUCCAUUUCUCACAGUUCUUUUAGGUAUUGAUGGUAAUUCAUAUGUUAAGUUUUCCUUAUAGGCCUCCAAGCCCUUAUCCUCGUAAAUUACUCCCAGUGAUCCCAAAAUAAAUCCUUCUAGCCUUCAUGCCGGUUCUCCAAAUAUAAGGCCAUCAACGACUGCAAUGCACCUUUUUUAGUUCACCCUUAUUCCUACUUUAAUGGGCUAUAAUCAUGGAGUAAGCAUGCCACCUACCAUAGUUUUUGUGCACAAGUCCUAAUGAACUUGGUAUUUGGAAUCAGACAUAGCAGUUUAUUACUGCAUUGUCCAAGUGAGAACAAAUAUUGUCUUCCAAACUACAUAACUGGACCGUCUCUUGCAACCAAUGCAGCAGAUGAUAUUCUAUACAAACGGACUGUUUAUUGCCUCUUUUUCUUGUGUUAGGUUCGUGGCAUAUUACAUCUUCUUGGUUUUCAUCAUGAGUCAAGCAAUGAGGCUGCCAUGGAAUUGGAGAAGGAGGAGCAACUCAUUUUAAAAAGUCUAAGGUGGAAAGGAAAAAGUCUAGCUAAAGGUGCUCAGGAUUCAAGCAAGCCUCAAACAGUUUCAUUGGAUGGUAUGUUCUUUUGAAAUUUUUUGUAGCUAUUCUCCUUACCACUAUCUUUAAGUUGUUAUGGUAGAGAAAUGAUUAGCGCACUCAUGACCUAAUCUAGCUCUUGCUGUCUAAGAAUGUUUACAGGGAAAGUGACAAGUAGUCAAAAGAGAGCUGUCACCCUAAGAUUUUACAGACCGAAAUUCAAAUAUAUUUUCUGUGAUAUGGAUGGUAUAUACCCUCUGCGCCUGUCACAUCCUUACAGUCCUAAAUGUGUUAUAAUUUUCAUUUACUAAUGGUUUUUUUUCUUUGUUUACAAGGUACACUGCUCAACAGUAAAAGUCAAAUCACAGCAAGGAACGCAGAAGCUCUAAGGGAAGCUAGGUCAAGAGGAGUAAACAUAGUUAUUGCUACAGGAAAGGUAUUAUAUGUUCUUUGCUCUUGGUGAACUAUAUUAUUUAAAGAGCAUAGGUGUUGUCAGGUUAUUUAAUUAUUUUAACUGAAACCAUCAGAUUAACUUGGUAUAUCCUAGUGUAUCAAUAUGCUAAAAUUGAUCAUCAUGGAGAUUAGAGCAAUUAAGGCUCAGUUGUGCAAUCAUGCCUCUGGGAAGAUUUGUGUCCUGCAAUAAAUUACCUAGCGCAGGUCCAGGGAAAUAAUCAGUAAAGUUGAUUAGAGCUAAGGAACUGCCCCAUUGGAUGGCAUACUUUUCUACAGAAUUUAUGUGCUGAGAAGUUGUCCACCAGCUAGUCUUUCCGUAGGAAAAACGAACAUGUUGCAUAUUUUUUCUUUCAUCAGUGAUUUCAUCGAUAUUACACAAAUUUUCUUUUGGCAAAGCCAAACUCAUCUAAAGUUAAAUGAACUUGAACACUCCGCUAAAGUCUUGCUGGGAUGGGACAAAAACAGGACAUUCUAGACGUAUCCUUAAUGUUUGGACUAGAUUUGUGUGAAGCUUGAAUCGACAGUUUUUUCCUGUUUAUUUAUUUUUUUAGCAAUUUAAUUAAUAUUUUUGAUGAUGCUGAUGAUUUUUCUGCCUCGAUUCAUUCUGGAAACAGGCACGUCCUGCUGUAAUUGAUGCUCUCAGUAUGGCAGACUUAUCUGGAAGAAACGGCAUUGUUUCAGAAUCUUCACCUGGCGUAUUCCUUCAGGUUGUUAUAAAGUACAAUUAGUGGAAAAUGCAGUCUUUUUUAUAUGAGUUAUCUUGAGUGAUGAAAGUGCUGCACCACUAAACAUCCCGAUCGCUGUCAAUACAUUGUGUUGACUGAGAACUAUGUGUGGUCUACAACAUGUCUUUAUUGGGACCCUUACUAAGCAUAUAAGGCGAUAAGAUCUAAUAGGAUAGGAGAGUGAUUGAGUGAUUAUUGUGUACACUUCUUUACAGCAUCCACCAAUUGUGUAACAGAUAGGAGUGAUGGAAGUGAGAAAAAAAUGUAGGGGAAAGAAAAGGUUGAGAAAGGACCCCAAAUCAUAGGUGAAGGUUUCUAUUAUUUAUAUAUACUACUAAUUCAAAUGAAGACUGUUAUUUUGGAACGAAUUCACCUCCACCCCACUUCACAUGGUCCAUAUGGGACCCAAUUACGAGGCUGAGAUGAUACUUUGACAACAAUUGGACAUACAAAUGUUAGACAUCUGUUUGUAUUCCAUGAUGAUUUCUGCUUUCUACUCUAGUUCUUCAUCCUGUGUUAUGACAUAGUGUAUUACUCUAUUGUUUUUGUCAAGAAUGUAACUGUAUCAUCAUCAGGUAAGUAGUGCAUCGUUGACUAUCCUCGUGAGCAUUAUCCCCACUCUCAUCAAGUCCAUACAUCCAAUUGUAGGGGCUGUUGGUUUAUGGUUUGGAAGGGAGACAAAUUUAUAAAAGAAAUUUGGAUCAAGAUGUAUGUAGAGAGGUAAGCAAGUGUUCCCGUUUGAGAUAAAAUAUGUGGACAUAAGUCGUAGUAUAGAUGUAGAAUGAUUGCGGUUCUGUUGAAAAUUUCAUGCCUUUCGGAAGGUACCUAUUUUUUUGCUUUUAGUUAACAUAUUUAGUUGUGGAUAUCUUUUUUAGAGCGGCAACAACAAAGUCUUAUUGGAAUUAGCAAAUAUUUCUGCAACUAACUGGAUUGCAUUUGUGCGUCACAGCUACCACAACUGGUGAUGCAUCUUCAUAUCUUUGUUUGCAUACUUGUAUUAGUGUCUUCUGCUAUGCGAAUCCAAGGAGCCUCUAGCUAACAUAACAGCUUAUAUAGCUUAGUAACUCUUAUGCCUGAGCUAAUACCUGAAUGCACAAGCAAAAGAACAUGAAGUAUUGUUUAUCUGAAUAAACUAAUCUUACCCUCUGUCAUCACUAGUUUGCAAUUUUGUUUGGCGCUCCUGUAUGAUGUGCUUGUUAUUGGUGGCAUAUCACUACUAUUUUUCCUUAGUGUGUUAAACAACUUACAACUAUUCUUCUACAAUUGUGAAAUUAGUGAUACCAUUUGCAUGGUGCAGGCACUCUUAUAUUCUUUGGAGCACAAGAUACCAUUAGUAGCAUUUAGCCAGGAUCAUUGUUAUUCUAUGUUUGACCACCCAUUGGUCGAUUCCCUCCAUUACAUAUACCAUGAACCAAAGGUAUGAUGGGGUUUUCAGUCCUUUCUUAAUCACUCUCUGGUGGUUGUAUUCUUGUGGCUUUUUAAUGCAGUUGGGCAUUUGUUUGCAGGCUAAAAUAGUUUCAUCUGUUGACCAGCUUUUAGGAACAGCUGAGAUACAGGUAUGUCUAUUUAUCAAAUGAUUUCCCUGAGAGUUUAUUCAAAUGGUUUUCCUGAAUAGCUUAUUGACUUUUGCACAAUCCAUUUAGUGUUCCUUCUCUUGAACACUACGCUUCAGAACAUUUGUUUGUAGGUAAUUUAUAAUUGGAAAAUCCAUGCUCAAAUGACUGGCUUGUAAAGUUCUUUAUAUAGCUAAUAUGAACAGGAAAAAGGUUUCUUUGAGAUGCAUGGAGGAGGGUUAAGUUCCAGAAAAUAAUUUCAUCACUUUUGCAUCGAACACCAAUCCAUAUGUUUUUAGAAACAUGCUGGUUUUGAAUCAAUUUUUCCCCAUCUUUUAUACCGACAGCCACUAGUUUUUGGAACAUCAUUGGACACAUUGCACUUUCACAUGCUAGGAUUUUAACAACCUGUGAUGCUAUGAUAAGUUGCAGCUUAACAGUGUCAUUUUUCUCAUAUUCAGAAAGUAUUGUUCCUUGAAACUCCUGAGGGAAUUUCGUCUGCAUUGAGACCGUACUGGGCAAAGGCGAUAGAGGGAAGGGCACAUGUCGUUCAGGCACAACCUGACAUGCUUGAACUUGUACCACCUGCGACUUCGAAGGGCAAUGGUGUAGAGAUUCUGCUGAACCACCUUUCCAUUAGUCCAGAUGAGGUAUAAGCAAUCUAGUUCCCUACUAAUAUAUUUUGACGACACAAGCCAAAAGUUACUAGCCUUAGCUCAGGCAAAAGUUUAAGUAGCUGCAAAAAGGCUUCAAUAGUAUAAGUUUUACAGCAAAAUUCUUCUAGGACAAUUACAUCAGUCUUACCUCUGAACUGGUUCAAUAAAUAAUUGCAGAACAAGAAAUAUAGUGCUACAUAAUUUGUUGCAAUUCACAUUAUGUUUUUUUUCCCAACGCUUGUAGCCAUGUGAUUUUGCCAUUCAAAUUCUGGUUAUUUAAGUGUUUGCUCUCGAUAAACUGUUAAAUAUGGGUACCAGUGAAGCAGCUGAUGGUGCUUGUGGUUCAAAUAGUGUCUUACUCAUGGUGUGAGGAUGCAGAAAUAUAGUGGGUUGGUCCUAGUCCAUCACCAGUUCACCACCUCAUUCCUCAUAAUCACAUGUUAGCAUUUUUUUUUAAAAAAAAGGAAUGGUGUCAUCCUACCAAAAUCAUGGCAUGGUUUCAUUACAGACCAAAACAUUUAGGUUUAUGAUGAGUUCUUCAAAUGAAGCACCUCACUAUUCACCGCAAUCUUUAUUUGGUUCUAAUGUUUUGAGCUAGUUUUAUAUAGAAAAAACAACAUGGUAAAACUAAAUUUGGCAUGGAUAAAAGCUCCUUAAGCAAGCACUAAAACUAUUUUAACCUAUUUAUUUUUUAUAAAAAGGACCAACUGCAAUGUAAUUCGAUUAUCUAGUGACCGACGUGCACUAUUCUAAUAUAAUUUUUGUUCUGCAAGGUAAUGGCGAUUGGAGAUGGAGAAAAUGACAUAGAAAUGCUGCAACUGGCUUCGUUUGGUGUUGCUCUUGCAAAUGGAUCUGAGAAGACUAAAGCAGUGGCAAACGUGAUUGGCGCCACUAAUGAUGAAGAUGGAGUUGCACAGGCUAUUUAUGAAUAUGUCUUCUAACAGCCAAGAAGUCACUUAGGACUGGAACUGGAUUAAUUUCAGCUCUUUUUGAUUCCCCAUUUUUCCUGGAUUCAACACAGAACAAGUAGUUCCAAUCACACACGAUUCUGGAGUGUGAUCUUACUCGGGCUAGAAUUUUUGAAAUUGUUAGCUGUAAGACAUUUUUUUUGUUGGCAGGCAUUGAAAUUCAGCUCUGCCUUCCCUUUUUCCACAAAAAAACAAGAAAAAAGGAAAUUAAGCUCUGCCUACUCUUGAUUGGAAUAUAUAAUCGAAUUGCUAGUUGUCUCAAAUUUGUAAUUAAGUAUUCCUUUUGAACGCCACUUUGUUCCUCUUAACUUCGGCCCCAAAUAACCAUGUUACUCUUUAUAAAAAAGACAAGUUACUUGGAUCUGGUCAUAUAAUUAAGAAUUCAGAUAUGCAGGCAAAUAUGUACAGCCCUUUCUUAACCGCAGUACAGUGUAACAGUUAUUUACAAGAAUCGAUGUCUCGUGAACAAAACGAAAGGAGAUCCUCUAUUGACUGCAGAGGAGGAAAACCUCUUACAUCUGAGACAGGCCAAUACGCUUGUCAACAAAAUCCCUCAAAGAAAAAAAAAAAGAACAGAGCUGAAACCCUGGACAGAAACGUUUCAGACUUCAGUGAUGUCUAGAGCCUACUGAUGGUAUCCACCCUUGUUUACAGGGAUUGGGGGAGGUCUAUAGAGCAUGUUGUUGCUGUUGUUCCGAGACGCCAGAUUUGCGCAAGAACCUCCGGAGGGCUUCUUGGCUAUUCCCCUGCUGUUAGGGCCAGGCAUGUGACACUCCUGCUCUUCAUCUAAUGCUAGAUAGCUCCUCGAUGGCUUGAUCUUCUUGUAGGGGGUCUCUUUCUUGCGUAGAUCUUCCAGGCAUCUCACCUCAGACAUACACGCGAACGACUGAGACUUGCCGUCGUAGAAUUUGGAUAGCCCUUUCCUGCAGAGGACAACACAAGGUGAGAAUUUUUUCCCUUUUAAGGCGUGUAGAAGAAGCAUAUAGAUGCAAAAGGAAUAAAAAAAAAAUCGAGGAACUUACUUGACAGGGAGUUGUGCCAUCAUGGACGACAGAUCGUAGAGGCUAUCGGAGUUCAAUCUCCGAACCGACUGCUGCGCCGGGGAGGAAGCCGCCUGCUGCAUGAACUGGUGGUCCAGAGCUCCGGCGCCCUCGCCGUCCGAGAACUGGUCCUCGCCGUCCGAGUCGCCGGAGAUGGAAGACGAUGUCUCGAACAAAUCUUCAUCGUCGUAUUCACGGUACACCGGGAGACCUGUAGCGCCGCUGAAUCCGCCCAUGCUUUCGACUUGGGGAGAUUUCUUGGCCCCAAGAAAACUGCGAGAACAAGUUAUGUGUGGUGUUUUGGAAUUUGGAUGGAUGGAUAUAUUCUUCCUCAGCUCCUCUUGCUUCCUCUCUUUCACGACCUUUGCAAGUGCUGAAGAGAAGGGGUAUAUAUAUAUAGACAUAUCCAAAGCUCUAGCCGAUAGCUGGAAGGGGAUAAUGCUAGGAGCCUUCUUCCAAAAAUUCAAACACGGCGUAGUGCGCUUUGACUAGUAUAAUGCCUGCCAUUUGCAUUAGUGACAUCACCAUCUUUCUGCGUCUACAUGGCUAAUUGUUAGGUUUUUCUAGGACACUGACAUGGACCCACCCAUGCAUGGUUUUAGGUUUCUUCCCAGAAUAAAAAAAGGAGGAGUAUUUAGAAAAAAGAGUGUGAAAGUUGGUUGGCCACUUCCACAUGCCUUUGCCAGAUUCUGCAGCUGGUGCCCCCCUGAUCUGAUCUUAUCUUCUCAGUUUGCUGAAUGUGACCAGGAUUUGUUCGCAUAUCUCCUUGGCAGGUUGGGCGUGAGCCUGACAUGUGGACCACCAAUGUUGUGGUGGAGGUGAUGCCCCAUCGGGCUGAUUGUUUAUGCCGGAGCCGAGGGACACGCGGCGCACCUUUGUUGGCUUGUCAUCGUCUUUUCUUUUUCCUUGGUCGCAGGCUAAAGUCGGUGGGGGUGGUCGGGGUACUAGAUUGCAGAUUUUUCACGGAACCAUUUUUGGAUAUCGUGUCAUCUGGGGAAAUCAUAUCGUGAUGUUUUUACCCUGAUACAAGCUGCCUGAGAAAGGGGGAUUUGCAUGUUGGUAAUGUAGUAGUAAUGGCAAUCCUGCUUUAUAUUGAUCAUAGUCAUACAACCACAUCAGUCCCUAAUUAGCGCCAGGUAAUCCUCCAGCUGUCUCCUAGUUUGGAACAGGAGCCCUGUGUACCAAGUUACCAACAGUAUGUGUCGAAAACCAGCAGGAAUUCGGAGGUUGGCUGCAAAUUUACGUAAACAAGACCACAUCCCUUAGCUUGCAAGUGUCAAUUCUACACUCUGGUGCUGAACCAUUUGAUUCCCACUCGCCGUGUCGUCUCGGACAAAACGUACAGGAGCAAAAGGUAGAAUCCAUGGACCAAAUAAGAGUAGUAGGUGAUGAGUAAACACGUGUAUGGUUUUCCGCAUCACAACUGUGUUUGCAACUCUAUAUGGUUGUCCAUUCCUUGGCUUCCACUGCAAGGGAGUAAAAGUGAAAAGUAAACAUCGAUCGAGUAUGCCUGGCUCAAAACAUAACCCGCAGGUCACCUACAAAAAUAACCUUGCUGAUUUCCCUAAAAGUGCACAUGACAAUGCUGCAUCUUGGCACCAUUUCUAGGAGUGUCACGGCAUUGUUUUUUUCAGUCCGCCUGUACUGUGCUAGCGUUGUUUAAGACCUGAAAAUUGUUGGUUAGGGUCGAUGGGCACUACCAGGAAGGAACUCGCCCUAGCCUGAUGAGCUCCGGAGAACCGGACGCGGACACCCGUCGCGCGAUCCAGCUACGAGCCAGGCGCAUGUUCAGUGAACGGAACCAAUGCAACAACAACACCUCACACGUCUUCUGCCACCACCAGCCGAGCACACCGUAUACCAGAUAAUGAAAUUUUUAAGCAGGUGUGAACAAGUUGUCAGUGGACACAUGGCAGGAGCAGCGUUUCCGGGGACACGGCCACAGGUCGGGCGGACCAACGAAAACCGGCCGGCCGGCGACAGCCGCUCGUGUCCGCAUGUGUUGCCGGCCGCUCGGCCCGCCCGGCUGCGAGAUGGUGUUUCCCAACGUGGCUUCAAGUCCCGUCGACGCAGACAUCCAUAUGCUCAUGUUUUCGAUCCCUCGAGCCAGUUAAUUACGCACCCUAAUUCGAACACUAAGUUAUGUGCUUUUCGCCUAAAAAAUUCUAGGUGCUCGGACACUAAGUUUGUGUGUGGUUUUCGUCUAAAUUUAAUAAUUCCGGUGCUUUUUUGGAGGGGUCAAAGGGGGUGGCUGGCUGGCUGCUAAGAAUCGGUGCUUCGGAUCGUGCUGCUCUAAUCCUUAUCCAGGCCCGGACUUAUUCGACAUGCUCAAAAAUUCUCUUCCAAAGUUGUUCCCGGGAUGGUCCACCUGCCUCACUCCGGAGACUUGUUGGAAACUUAUUAAUACUAGCUAUAGGUCUUUUCUCUCUCUCUCUAUCUUUUCGAACCAUUCAAACACGUUUGGAUAUAUUCCGAGCAAGCUCGACGAGUAUUGACUCUUCCGGUUGGCUCCCCUCUGCUGUGCGCCUGGACUGCGACACAGGCAGCAGCCAGGUGAUCCACUUUUUUUGUUUCCCCUGGCGAUUUUAUGUGCGUUCAAACGCUGAAACGCGUCGACGACGGAGCCAGGCGUUCCCUUCUGACCAGUCUAGCUCGUGCGCGGAACGUGGAACGCUACCACCCCCGUUUUAUCCACCCAUCAUCCACAGGAGACGACGACCUCAUCUGGAUCGGAGCCGUCACGACCGGAGCCAUCACCCAAAAGGCACGCCCACGCUAGCUAGCAUGAGCCGAUAAGGGUGCCCCGGGGGACGGAUGAUGGGAAUAGAAUGCGAUCGCGCGGGGAUCCCGGCGACAGCGACCGGCCACGAUACGAUCGCAGCGGCGCGCGCGCGGCGCCCCAGAGAAAAAUCAUGUGCGGCGGGCCAGGUUCCCGCAGCGUUCCUCGGGUGGACCACGCGUGGACUGCCUGCCUGCCCCCGGGCUCGCACUCCGCGGUCCGCGCCAGGCCGCGGGAACGUGGCCGGCGCGGGCGGCCGGAGAGCCGAGCAGAGCGGGGGGCGCGGCGGGGGCAUGUGAAACCCGCGAUCCGUCCACGGAUACGCGUCCGCGUCGCGUCGCUGUCGCGGUGAUAUUUUUCCUUUCUUUUCCCCGGCGCCCCCACCGCCGCCGCCUGCUCGCCGCGCGCGUCCCGCCUCAGCCUGCCGGUUUGGACGGAUCGUGGAUGGGUGCCGGGCGCGGGCGGGAUGCGUCUGGAAACACGCCCAGCCCAUGCCCCGGACGCGCCGCGCGGGCGCCCGGCCACAGCCGGCUUGGCCGCCUGGGGAAACCUGCCGUUUCACGAGCGCGGGCGGCGGCGUCCCUUGGCGAGCCGGAUUGUUUUUUUUCUCCUCUGUCUGAACUCUGAUGGAGCUGGGGGCAUGCGUGGAGGGUCGGCAGCCUGGGGAAAACGAGAACGAAAAAUCCAGAGCUGUCUGGAGGUUUCUUGGUGAUUUAUCGACUGGGGAGAUCGCAUCCAAUGUUGGCUUGGUGUACGGAGCAGCUUGUACUUCUCCAGCCAUCGACGGCUCCGGAUUGGACGGACGACCUGUAAAAUCUCUGCAGGCUGCAGCCCUGAGCUCUCAUUUUCAGCGUUGCUAUCGUGGGAGCCUGCUCAACGAUAUAGUGGACCGGCACUUUGGAAUAAACCAAAGGGGACGAAAAUGACGAGAAAAGGCGCGUAGGUCCGGGCGCCCGCCCGGCAGAUGGAUGCCGAGGUAUAUCCGAUCCGGCUUUUGCAUUAUAUCCAUGCAACGUGUAGCUCUCUGGUACAUGAGCGAGCGCCAUGCAUAUCCUGUGAACGAGUGAAGGAAUCAGCCGUCUUUCUGGAGAAGAACCUGCUCGCGGCCUCGUCGGCUGUCGCUCCGAGUAAUAGUAUGCUGCGAGCUAGCUGCGUACGUGGUAGGCUACUCCCUCGCUUAGUGUCUCGCAUGACGCUGACGCCUUUGCUCGAACCUAACAUUUGAAAAAUCGUCGAUGGUCUGGUCGAAUGCCAAGUCGUGCUUAGCUUCGUGCCGGCCGGCCGGAGUCAGAGCUGUGUAGUAGCUGCUGUUCUUGAACCCCGGGGUAACGGCAUGUCUGAAUCUACGCGACACGACGAAAACGUCGCGGACUUGAGCUCCUCUUAUCCAGCGAACGAAGGAUCCAGGAGGCAACGUGUGCAAGAAUGAAGAUCGUCACGAAACUGGAGUCAAAACCCACUAAAACAGUACCAAAAAAAAAACCCCACUAAAACCAAAGGCACAGCUAGCUGCUCCUUGUUCGCCCUGCUACUGCAAAAACGCUCAGAAGCUUCCUCCAUCCGGGUACCGUCACGGUGCGUCGUUGGCUCGUUGCCAAUACAAUACGGCAAUACGCGACGUCAGGCUUCGAAUUGCGUAUGGGUACGUUGCCCACGUACAGGCCCUGGUUCAGGCAAGUGGCGGCGGCGGCGGUUCCAACUGACGGCCGUGAAGAAGUCAGCCAGGACGGGCAGGUGGGCGUAUGAUCGGCAGUUCCGCAGCCAACGAGCAUGGCAGAGAUCGGUUGGGGGGCGAACGGAGCGAAUCCAGAUUUGGAUUUGAUUGGGAUGCAGGGGAGGGGAAGGUGGCGGGCGGCCGACCGGCCGGGCGGCUGAGGGGGUUGGAAGCUGGAACGCACGACGACGCGGCACAAGUAGCGGGCGAGCUGGGCCGCCGUUGUGUAUGUUUUAUCGCGUGGACGGCUGUAGUUCGGCUGGACUGGAUAAGGAGAGUUGGCUAUUCCAAUCCAGACCAGACCAUGAUUAGGUCAUACGGAGUGGUUCGGCAGAUUGGUAGCCUGACCAUGCCUGAUGAGUGAUGGCCGGGAGAAUUCAAGUGUAGCGAGAGAUGUGUGUGGCUAACUGCCUAACAAGAAUUGCAACAGAAGAUGUGAAGACAGGGGCGGUGGACGGAACAAACACCGAACAAGGCUACCGAAUUUGGAGUUCUUUAUCUUACUUUCUUCAGUAGCAACUUCAGAUGGUUCAGUAGAACUGAGAAGUGAGAACUGAGUGAGAAGCGAGGAGGCCUGCCGGCAUGGGCCGGUAUUAUCUCGUGGGAGCGCACAGGCUAGGCCCACUAUAUUAAUUCAGUCCAUUCACACUAAAAAAAACUCAGCUCCACUUCCAAACAGUGCUGGGCCGCAGCCCAUGCUCUGACCAGUUCUCCGCGGAUCGGAGCUCGCCCUUCUUUUCUCUGCUCCUCGGCUAACUCCACUUUAUCGGCUUUCUAGAUGAGUAUGGAGUAGUAGCACAGGGCUUUUGAUGUAAACUAUGAUAUGUGCAAACGUACUAUUACCCUUGGACUUGUGUAAUCGGCAGACUCAUGUAACUAACCACCAGACAACAAUUUGAAAAGAUAACUGCGCAUCACUUCUUGAGUUCUUGUGCAAAAUGAGCAAAUCUCACGCUUCUGGAUCUUCGACGUGAUGGGCAUGAGCAUGGAAUGGAGCUGUACUACUAUGUGUAGAUACUGAAACCAGGGUAGGACCGUAGGAAUGUAUACUAGUACUAUAGGAGCAUGGAACACGGGCACUUUCCCAUUUUGAAUCUUCCGGGUGGUUAACGAAUCGCUACUCCAAAAAUGUGAGUACAAUUCGUACUAGGAAAAAGAAAAAAUAGCUCUGCGACUGCGAGCACUCCAAUUCGUUGGCAGUGGCACGGAGUUCCACCGCUUGCAUUCCCGACGAUCGGAAAACGUGAGCAAGAAAAGGAAGAGAAAUGCAAAGGCGCAACGCAACAAGCCAGGAGAGAGAGCCCGGCGCCAGCUUUACCGACGUGGAGCCCACAGCGUGCCGGUGUGGAAUGGACUGGGUAUACCGAUGCGACCUGUCGUUGUCGUCAUUGCCUCGGUAACCGGUCUGGUGUUAUUCACCGGUAGUUCCUCCGACGUCAGAAUUUUCACUGACGUGUGGGCGCCCGAUUCAGGGUGCCCCACUCGUCAACGAGAGCCAGUACUGUUACUCCGACGUCGGAGUAUAUCCCGUCGCGUUUCCUGCCCUUACCCUCUUUGUCGGGCCGGCCCCUCUCCGUGUUGGAGACAGAUACUGGGCUGCUACGUGGGCCGAGUACGUACGCUACGGUCUUCGACACGCCGAUGUCUCUUUGUGCCCACGUUCGAUUUACGCAAAAAGCAUGCAAAAUUCAUCGUGUCGAACAAAAAGCCAGGCGAGAACGAAGCAGCGGCGACCGCGCUGAGCUUAAAGCUAUGAGCUCUUUGCUUACGCAAAGCAUCCUCGAACACAAUUUUUUUCCAUAGCUCAAAGCCCGAGCAUAGUUUGUUCAUGGAGAAAAGGACAAGAAUAUGGGUCCUCCAUCCUUUUUAUUUCCUACUAUGUCUAUAGUACGCUCCUUCAUCUUUCACCUUCUGUCGUCUCGGUUCACUCCAGUAAAAACUGCAUUUUACACCUGCACUCCUGCAGCAGUCUGCAAACAUCUUUGCUUUGCGUACUGGGCCUUGUUUAGUUUCCAAAUUGGAAGUGGCAAAGUUUAUUUACCAUAAAUGCACAACUGUAAUAUUUCGUUUAUAUUUAUGAAUUAUUGUCCAAACAUUGACUAAUUAGACUCAAAAGAUUCGUCUCGUAAAGAACAACAAAACUGUACAAUUAGUUUUCGAUUUCAUCUACAUUUAGUACUCCAUGCAUGUACCGUAAAUUUAAUGUGAUGGAAAAUCUGCUUUUUCAUAGUACUAAAGUUGGAAAAAGGGAAACUAAACAACGAGCAGCAUCUCAGGAGGGUAGGCUACUAAGGCUUUGGCUCUGCAUGUUUUUUUAGUACAACAUGUCCUCGCGUAAAGUCAUUUUUUACAGGGUUCAGGAUAGCAUCAUGCCAACUGACAUGUGGGUCCGCAUGUGUCAAUGUGGUCCUGGUCCACGCGAGAGCCUCCCUACCAGCAGACAUUCCUCGCUCCCCCGUUUUCUACUCCUCGGCCUUCCGUUUCUGUUCUGUUCCGGACGUGAACCGGCCUUGUUUAAACGCCCUCAACCCCAUUUCAUAACCCCCCGCCUCGCGUCCGCGCCCGCAACAGCCGUCACGCAAUUCACUCCACCCCACUGUGCUCUGGCUCUGCUUCACAGCCUCACAGGCAAGCACAGCAGUGGCUCAGCCAGCGGCUGCGCCCGUCAGCCGUGCCUGUAUCGUCUUUGUCCUCACCCCCUCCUCCUCGAUUCCUCGUCCUCUCUCCCCAACGGACGGCAAAGGCCGCAGCCUUGCAGCCAUCGACGCAUUGCUGUCUUGAGCGCACCGAGGCGGGAAGCGGCGGCGGUACCGGAGCUUGGCGCUCGGUCGGCAAUGGCGGGGCGGCUUGUGCUGGCGCUCCCUGUGCUCCUCUUCUUGCUGCUUGUUGGUGAGUCGCUGCUACCUCGUCGUUCUUGACUGUUACGAUUCUUCAGUUGCUCGCUUUUGAGUAUUGUUGGCAAUGUGUGGGCCGGGAGAUGCCUUGCUUGCUUGAGGAGGACACGAUUCGAUUCUUCUUGUUCUUUGGUCUGGAUAUUGUGCGGCAUGUUCUUAGCAUUUUGGGGGAGAUGUUCCGUUUGUAUUGCGCCAUUUUAAUCUAUCCUUAUACUAUGUUUAUUUCUUUCCAUCAAAAAUCAAGAACCAAAGAUUGAUCACUGUAUUUGGGAAAGGGAAAAGGAACUUUCGAAGCCAAAUCACUGCAUUGUCCUCUGUUUGCAUUCGUGGUAAUCUGAACAGCGCAUCCGCAAUUGCAGGGCAUUGUCGGGGCGGCAAGAUUGGCAUCUGCUACGGCCGCAACGCCGACGACCUGCCGGGGCCGGAUAAGGUGGCGCAGCUCAUCCAGCAGCAGUCCAUCAAGUACGUGCGCAUCUACGACACCAACAUCGACGUCAUCAAGGCCUUCGCCAACACCGGCGUCGAGCUCAUGGUCGGCGUCCCCAACUCCGACCUCCUCGCCUUCGCGCAGUACCAGUCCAACGUCGACACCUGGCUCAAGAACAGCAUCCUCCCCUACUACCCGGCCACCAUGAUCACCUACAUCACCGUCGGCGCCGAGGUCACCGAGAGCCCCGUCAACGUCUCCGGGCUCGUCGUGCCCGCAAUGCGAAAUGUGCACACCGCACUCAAGAAGGCCGGCCUGCACAAGAAGAUCACCAUCUCCAGCACGCACUCUCUCGGGAUACUGUCCCGGUCCUUCCCGCCGUCAGCAGGGGCGUUCAACAGCAGCUAUGCCCACUUCUUGAAGCCUUUGCUGGAGUUCCUUGUGGAGAACCAGGCACCAUUUAUGGUGGAUCUAUACCCCUACUAUGCGUACCAGAACUCGCCCAGCAAUGUGUCCCUCAACUAUGCUCUGUUCUCGCCGCAGUCUCAGGAUGUGAUUGACCCAAACACUGGACUGGUUUACUCUAACAUGUUCGAUGCCCAGGUUGAUUCCAUCUUCUUUGCGCUCAUGGCUCUGAACUUCAAGACUCUGAAGAUCAUGGUCACUGAGUCAGGCUGGCCAAACAAAGGGGCAGCCAAGGAGACAGGAGCCACUCCAGACAAUGCUCAGACUUACAAUACCAAUUUGAUACGUCAUGUUGUUAAUGACAGCGGCACACCGGCAAAACCAGGAGAAGAAAUUGAUGUCUACAUAUUCUCAUUGUUCAAUGAGAACCGGAAACCUGGCAUUGAGUCGGAGAGGAACUGGGGACUGUUUUUCCCUGAUCAGAGCUCCAUCUACAGCCUUGAUUGGACUGGCCGAGGCAAUGUGGAUGUUAUGACUGGAGCAAACAUUACAAGUGCAAAUGGGACCUGGUGUAUUGCUUCAGCUAAUGCAUCAGAAACAGAUCUGCAGAAUGCUCUCAACUGGGCAUGUGGUCCAGGAAACGUCGAUUGCUCUGCUAUUCAGCCAAGCCAACCCUGCUAUCAGCCGGACACUUUGGCUUCCCAUGCUUCAUAUGCAUUCAAUAGCUAUUACCAGCAAAACGGAGCCAACGUUGUGGCUUGUGACUUUGGUGGUGCCGGAAUACGAACAACAAAAGAUCCAAGUAAGCAUCCCAUACUUUUUACAGUUAUGAUGAUGAUGAUGAUGAUGAUGCCAUGCACGGUACUUGAAUUCUGAUUUUGGUAUUAAUGUAUACAAGAGUAUAGUUCUUUAAAUGAUGUUGCAUUACUAGAUAUGCUACUCAGAUAGUCACAUGGUAUGAUGCUUGUUGUGUUUUCUAGUAGCUAAUUUCAUGUUCAUGAUGUGCCUGUUGCGUUAGGGCUACUGCCUACUGAUAUGUAUGUGAGAUAGCCUAAGUGCACCCAAUUGUGAGUUUGCGUCCUCAACUCGUGGUUUUCUGUUUUUCUCGUUUAUUGCAUCUUGCACGUAUUAUUGUAAUUCUGAAUAUAGGCAUGAGCACUGUUAGUUCCCAUUGAUUCCUUAUGAUGUAGCAAGUAUGUUAUAAAAUAAGAUGGCUCCCAUAGUUUAACUCUUCAAGUGUUGAAAAGAAUUGGAAUGUAACUGAUAAUAAUGGUAUAAUUUUCUAUCUAUCUUAACUUCCAGUAGUUGAAUCGGAGCCUUAAAUUGUUCAACUUAUGCUCUGAUCAUGCAUAUAAAAUAAUGAAAAUUUUGAUGAUAGAAUGUUGCAAUAUGAAUAUCAGUAUAGCCUAUUGAUUGGCAUGUCGCUGGUGUGUAUAAUGCUAGAAAAUGCUGUCUUUAACUAGUCUUCUAGAGAUUAUUGUGUGCUCCUUCAAUAACUAGUCUUCAUUUUACGUAAUGCCAUACAAGGCCUAAUGCAUGUUCCUUUUUUUUAUCAGUUCAAUAAUAAGCUUGUCAUGCUUUAUGUAUUGCUUGCUUUGCAGGUUAUGACACCUGUGUCUAUUUGGCUGCCGGGUAAGAAAACAAAACAUUUCUUCUUUCUAGUUUGAGUAAUAAUUCCAGUAAAGUCUACUAACACUUUCUUUCUUCUUUCUUGAAGCAGUAAGAUGAGCACGAUGAAUUCAACAUCUCUUCCAGCUCGUAGCGGCUCCAGUCCAAACCCAUCGGCCAAAUGUGUCACCUCCUUGCUCUUCAUGCUGGCCGUUGCGGUUGCUGCAGUUAUGCUGUGAUCUAUGGAGAACACCCCAGCUAUCCUCUUGAAAUGUUAGAUGGAAGGCGAAUCGCCUAAUGCUGGUAACGAGCGAUGUUCCGUUUUUCCAUGAGUAGUAGUGGACUAGUAGUAGAGACUAGAGAGGCGUAUUAUGCGGUAGUAGGAAUUCUCUGGUCAGUUAAGAUGUACAUCGUCGCGCGGAGCCGCAGACAAUAUAUAUCAGCUGGCUGUUAAGAACUUGAAAAUCCUCUUCUGGUGCCUCUGAGUUUUCAUCCUCGGUACAUUUUGCAUCAACGGUAAACUUCGCUGAACUAAGAUUGCAUGAAUGAUGAUUUCUGAAGUAGGUGCUGACGUCCUGUGUGAGAUUAUAGUUCUGCCAGUAAUCUUUGGAUGGCACAUUAUGUAGUCUUCUGCAAGCGUGGAACACGCAUGCGGGUGGGGGCUGGAUGGAUGAGAAUAAUAAGGUGGCAAGUGCUUUGCCAAAUCCCUGUGGAGGAGCUGGACCAUCAAUGUAUUGUACAAGGGAGCUCCAGCGUCAGUUCUCAGAGAGAGGGAGGUCCCGGAAGUUCAUUAUUAUGCUUGACGCGUGUUCUAAAUUCUGAUGCCUCCUUUUCAUCUGUUUAGGCUUGCCUCUCCGCUGUCGAUGAUUCAUGUGAAAUCAGAAAAGAUGCAGCCAAUAUUGGGGGCGUCUCCGUCUUAAGCCUGAUGCAACACAUGCAUCCCCAUCUGAUGCUAAGAUUAAACUCAUGACUUCCCUGAAUGUUGGAUGUAAGUUCUAGUAGAAUUUUCUGAAACAAUUUCUCUACUCUAGUAAUAACCAGCAAGGAAAAGGGGAAAAAGGACAGGCUUGGAAAUUAUUUCUGGGCUAAGGAAGCCCAGCCCAGCACCGGCAGCUUGGCGAGUGCUUUCGGCCAGGUGGGUUGUACCGUGGCAUGCUGGAAAGUAAGAUUCGGAUGGCCCACCACCACUCGGAGCAGUACACACGAGUUGCCGGGCCGAGGGCCCGUCGUCCAGCCUAUCUCCCGCGUCCACCCCACCACCACCCCCUUCCUCUCUGUGGCGUUGGCUGGCGGUGGCCGGUGGGGGCGCGACCCGUGUGGCGAGCCGCGCACCAAAGGUGGGGGCGAGGUUGAAGGGCGAGCUAAAGAUGGAACGGGUGGUUGGGAGGCGGACGCAAGUAGUGGCGAUCCAGUCCUCCGCCUCGCCGCGCGCCCCGCGCCCCUAUUUAUACCGCGGCCAUCACCUGCGUACGUGAGCGCUACCACCACCACCACCACCACCACCAGAGACAGAUCGAGCCCCGACCGCCGCCGAUCACCCUCGGGUCACAGCAGCAGCAAGCCCCCGCCGGACGGCAGGAUGUCGUGGCAGACGUACGUCGACGAGCACCUCAUGUGCGAGAUCGAGGGCCACCACCUCACCUCCGCCGCCAUCAUCGGCCACGACGGCACCGUCUGGGCCCAGAGCGCCGCGUUCCCGUCGGUGAGUGGCUCCGCCGCCUGCGUCCUUGUUGUUUUUCCGUCGACGGCCGAUCAGAUCGAUCGAUCACGGCUCUGACGCGCGGUUUCCUGUGUGUGUGAUCGGCGUGCCCUCCACCCAGUUCAAGCCAGAGGAGAUGGCCAACAUCAUGAAGGACUUCGACGAGCCCGGGUUCCUGGCCCCGACCGGCCUCUUCCUCGGCCCCACCAAGUACAUGGUCAUCCAAGGCGAGCCCGGCGCCGUCAUCCGCGGCAAGAAGGUACGCGCCGAUCCGCCGCAUAUCACGCCCUCUCCUCUCAUCGAUCGAUCUCUCCGUCGGCCGGUCUAGCUCCCUCCGGUCCUGAUCUUAAUUUUCGCAGGGAUCUGGAGGCGUGACCGUGAAGAAGACCGGGCAGGCCCUCGUGAUCGGCAUCUACGACGAGCCCAUGACCCCCGGGCAGUGCAACAUGGUGGUCGAGAGGCUCGGCGACUACCUCGUAGAGCAAGGCCUGUAAAACGGAUCGCCCGUCCACGGUUGAAGAAGCAUCCAUCAGCAACAAUACAACCGCCAGCACGUAGUAGUCUGUGUCCACGCACGCAUUUUUAGUCCCCACGCCCGGGAUUGUGCGUGGCUCCGUUACCUCCGGCAUUUCUUCAGUCCCCUGCCCCCCGCCCGUCGCCGAUCAUCAGAGAAUAUUUUCCUUGUUUGAUUGAUUGAUUUGUUGGUGUCGUUUUGGCAAAUAAUUUUGUGAUUUUUUCUCUCCCAAAUUUGGUUGUCGUCGAUUUGUGAACCCGGAACAAUAUAUAUAUGUGUGAUUGAACUGGUACUACCUAUUCUUUGUAAUACGAGAAUGUGUAUGUAUUUCGUGCAAUUUCUUCUAAAUUUCCAUAUGGAGCAUGAAAACUACAUAAAAAACACCGGAUAUGGCCCUUUUGGCGGCAUGGUGGUAUCAUUCCAUUCACUCCAGCAUGUAAGCAGAUACCGUGAAAUCUGUUGCAAGAGCUUCGCAAACUUGAUUCCGCCCAACUCUCGGCGGUAACAGAUCCCGAAUAUAUAUAAUUAUAUAUACGUGCGAGCAGCGCCCUGUCAACCGUGCGCUGCGUGCGUAUGCGGCUGCAAAUGCUGGAUGCCUGGCUCGUGUCGGAGGUGUGUGCAAAGAGAGGGACGGCGUGUACGAUUGCGUUACGCCGGCAUACCAAACAGAAACCGUAUUAGCUUAUGUUGUUUGCAUUACCGGCGCUAUCAGAUGCCAUUUGCGUUUACAUUUCCAUUCCUCAACCAAACAGCACCUAAGGGUGCGUUUGGCUUGGAGACAAGGUGGGACGGGAUCAUUUCGUUCCCAUUUUUUUGGAUGGGACGAUCAUAUUUUAUGUUUGGUUGAGAGGGACGAGUCCGACCUAGUUCUUUGUUUGGUACGAGGGAUUGAAGGAAUGGGAUGGAUGACGAUUUUAACACCGUUAGCCAUAGUAAAUGGACCCUACCUGCCAUCUAAAAAGUGGACCCCACCUGUCAUUCUCUAUUCAAUGUUUUUCUUAUAUUUUCUUUUUUUGCUUGGCCUUAUCCUUCUUCCACCCCGCCUCCCCCCAGGGCCACGGCCGCGCCGUGCCUGGGAGCUCCUCCGUGCCCUAGGGCCACGGCCGCCGCCACCCCUCCCCCACCCCUCCACGCCCCUAGGCUACGGCCGCCGCCGCCCUUGCUCCACCCCUCGGUGCCCUUGUGCUAGGGCCGCCGCCGCCCCUGCUCCACCCCGCUGCCCCAGAGCCACGACCGUGCCGCCGGGGAACUCGCCCCUACCGACGACGGGCCCCGGCCGCGCCGCCCGGGGAGCUCGCCCCCGCCGGCCGAGGGCCCCCGCCGUCCUAGGGACCUCACCCCCGUCAACCUCGAGCCCAGCCGCGCCGCCCAGGGGAGGUCCACCCGAUCGACCUCGAGCCCGUCCGGGCCGCCCAAGGGAGAUCCACCCCGCCGGCCUUGAGCCGCGGCCGCGAAGCUCGGCCAUGCUGGCCUCGAGCAUCUCUGCCCAAGGUAGCUCGCCCCCGCCGGUCCCGAGCAGCGGCCGUCGUGCCUACGCUAGAGAUGGGUCUCCGCCUCUCGGAAGGGUGGCGCGGUGGAGCUCCAGCCGAGCGCACGAGGAAGAAGAUAAGGAAGAGCUUCGGUGGAGCGCACGAGGAAGAAGAUGAUGGCUCAUGCCGUCGAAUUGGGACGAGCCUGUCCACUCGUUUUGGGCGGACGGGGUCAUCCCGGAUCUACACCGAAUAUUCCCCUACAGGAAUGGACUCGUCCUGAUGUCUCCCAACCAAACACCACUAAAAAGGAGGACCGUCCCCUUCCGUCCCACUUCAUCCUCGGAAUCAAACACAUGCUAAGUGGUCAGGUCUACAGGUCUAAGGCAAGGCACACUGCAAACUACUACCAGCACACACGGGAACAAAAGGGCUUUGAAGCUACAGGGCGAGCAAUGCACUACCGCCCGGAAUGCAGUUCGCAGUGUUCAGCAAGUGCCGGUCCGCGGCGUUCUGCUUGAGCAGGCGCUCGCGUGUCCCAGCACGAAGGCUAGGCUAUGCUGGGCUCGGUUCUCGCCAUCAGACUGACCCCUUUUCUAAGAUGGAUCCUAGCCACCAAACCGGGAGCUGAACAUGUUUUUACCAGCAUUAGGUAACCCAGCUUAAAGCAUAAGAAGCUUGGCCUAACAGCUUAUAACCUUUUCUCGUGGUCAAAUCCUUUUCUCUUUCUUUUCCUUUUCUCUCUCACAUAUAUCAGGUCCAGCUCCUUAUCUUUUCGCAUGAAGUAUUCCUUAGAGUCAUCUCUAACUAGCAAGGUGUCCUGCGCAAAUAGUGCGGAUAGCUGAUUUUUUAUACUAAUAUUUUCUUUUAAAAAGAUUUGAUGGAAAUAGUUGUCUUUAGUCAUGUCAUUUUAACAUGCUAAAGUAUCAUCAUGUUUUUUAUUGUUAUAUUUUGUGACGUAACUUUUUAGAACAUGAAUUCAUAAGAAAAUGGAAUAACUUAUAUAGAAACAUAUUUUUAGUAUUUCUUGAAGAAAUAUAGCAAUUUAUACAUUUUAUUAGGAAUAUAAUCAUUUUAGAUUUUUUAUUAGCGAUGUACAAUUUUUGUGAGUUUUUUUAUGAUGAUAAAUUAUCCAAAUAUUUUAGUAGUAUAUCUUAGUGAGUGGUUCAAUGUACUACCAGAAGAAAUAACUUCAAUCUAAUUUUGAGUUUGAAUCCAAAUACCUCUUAGUUGUUAUCUUCUCCAAAUCUGUUUUCCUUUCUUUAUUUUCCAAUCACCAGUUGCUACAUUGUUGACGGCAGUUAGCGCGUCAAUUGGUAAACCGUAAGCGCACGGAUUAGUUGUAACUUUUUCCUUUGAGUAUUCCCCUAAGGUUUAUCAAUCCGUGGAACAAGUGGAUUGCUGACUCUCACUUUAUACUAAUCUUACUAAUGAAAUUAGGCAAUAUGGGUUGGGUAGAGAGACAAACUAAUCUAAACUAAACAAGGAAUAAGAAGCAAAGGUUGAUACAAGAUAGAUAACAGAGAUAGAUAUGCGUUUCCUCCCUAGGAUCUAUGUUCACAUGAAUAUGCAUCUAUUACACAAAUUGGUACUGCCUUUUCUAGCUAUCAUAGAGAUUAUGUGCUCGCUCGGCUCUUUCCCUCCUGCAUACUGGCACUACACAGGGAUACUCACAACUCCGCUCACACAUCUAUAUCAAAGCAUCCGCGGAGUCAAGCUAAUCACCACGAUUACCACAAACUCUACUAAGGACAUAUAAAGCGCUCACAUAUGUAAAUAAAGCAUUGCAAUGACAUAGAUCAUGAAGCAUUGAUAGUUAUAAUGUACAAGUAGCAGUUACACAUCAAGGAUCAAAAAAAAUUCUAGGGAUGAACAGAGGCUUUACCCCCAAUAUCUUACAGAUAUUGACGCAGAAGUGGUGAAGGAGACUCUUGAGAACGUGGUCACCGAAGAUGGCGGCGAGGGGGUGCAAGAACACCCUGGGACGAUCAGCCUGAGAGCGGCGAGGGGGUGCAAGAACACCCUGGGCCGAUCGGCCUCGGGCUCUCAGGCCGAUCGGCUUGAGGGCUUCUUCGCGCCUCUUGCCCUUUGCUGGCGUUGGUCAUUGCGGUGAUAUGAUCUAAUCCCUAUUUUUCAUCUUGUGACGGCAGUGACUAAAUCUAAACUCGUCUUGAUUCCCCUCCUUGGUAUUUAUAGUUGGCGGCGUCAGUUGGGGUGCUUUAGAGGCUAAGUAUCUGGAGAAAAAAAACCUAGGGAAGUCACGGGCUUCCUCCUGGUGAAAGGGGGCGACGAACGGAGCUGAAAACGGGCUAGGCCGAUCAGCCUAGACCCCCAUAGACCGAUCGGCCUGCCCUAUUUUGAUCUCCAAUGCUCGGGUGUUUUAUAUGAAAGUUGUAGAUCUCGUCGAGCCAUGCAAUUUUUCCUAUAAAUUCGCUCCAAUCAGAGUUUGAAUGAGGAAGAUAUGGUCCGUGCAAGUUUCAGCUCCUCCUGCGGGCAUGCCGUUCAAUGUUCGUGUUUGGACCUUCCAAUAUCCAAAGUUCAGGCCCAAAUCCAACUUGUAGAAUAAUCCUUCAUUUAUAUCGUAUUUCCUUUGGUCCAAAACAUAACACAUAUGUGAAUCUGGGGUUAUUUUAGGUGCCAAGUGGUGGGUUAUUAUAAGAAUAUGCCUGAAAAUACUAGUUAAUAGUGAGCGUCAACAAUCUUCCCAUGCUUAAACCUUGCUCAUCCUCGAGUAAGCCAAUUCUUAUUUUAAAAAAAUCAGUGUUGCCUUCCAAUAUCAUCCAUGCACUUAGUUAUACAUGACAAGAUAUAUUGCUCUCUUUUAAGUGUUUAGCAGUAAAUUUCAAGUUGUGGCCGGCUUCUUUUUCAGGGCUAGUUGGAUUCAUGCCAUUGCGAUCGGUUGUGUCACUGACAUGUGGGAGCUUUCAGGACUAGUUAGAUUCAUACCAUUGCGAUCGGUUGUAUCACUGACAGGUGGGAGCCACCUCAGUCACUGACAAUGGUAUUUUUCAAAUUAUUGAAAAUUGUAAUGGCAUAUAUGGAAUUAUCCCUUUUUUAUUAUGGAACAUAGAAUAGCAAUAAAGAACAAGCGACAAUUGUCGGUGUUUUAUACCUAGCAACCUACCGAGGGGAAUCCCGAGGUAGCAGAUUGGUUGGCGGGGGAUUGCCGGACCUGGAACUUGAUGGUAAAAGCGAGGACACAAGACACAGAUUUAUAUAGGUUCGGGCCACCAGAGUAGCAUAAUAUCCUACGUCCUAUUUGGGGUGUUGUAUAUUGCGUCCUGCGCUUGGGUGUUGUUUGGUGUUGAGGAUUUGAUCCUCUGUUGUGGUUCUAUGAGAUCUUGACCUACAGAUCUAGGGACCCCUGCCCUCCUUUAUAUACUCCAGGAGGCGGGACUACUAGUCGGUUAUAAGGUAGGAGUCCUAGUAAGAUUAUAGAGGAAUCCUAAGAAGGAGUCCGUCUUCUUCCCUCCUUGCGGGUACUAGGGAUCUAUCCCCGACAAGCCCCUGAGCGCUUCUUAGUUGAGUGUAGCAGCCUUCGAGUACUUUUCAGAUCCUCGCUUAGUAGUUUUGGUGAUUUUCGACUACUUUGUCUGGUUAAAUCUUCAAAGUUCCUCAAAACUGCCAUGAGGCUAUGGUGUGCUCAAGUACAUACAUCGUCUUGGUUUGUAAUCUUCAUUUUUGGGAUAUGAUAUGGAGGGCGGCGAAAGUCACACUCUAUAUGGAGUACCCCCGAGCAUUAGGUUGAAUCAAAGAAUCAGGCUGAGAGUCAAUAAAAUCAUGAAUCUUCUUUCUUCACCUUGAAAAAAUCAACUGUUGGGUGUAGCUUAUCAGCCCCCAAGCCUUGAAAUGAUUAAAUAAUCAAUCCGAGGGUUUUUAAUCUUCACGCAAGUCAUCAUCCGAGUAGUUUUGCGGCAUCCAGCCCCCGAGCUUAUGCGCCAGGUAAGCAGUAGGAACCACGCCGAAUAGUUAUUUGGCACUUAGCUCCCGAGCUUAGAAGCUAGCUGAGCCACUGGAGAUAUUCCAUGUAGUAAUUGGCACUUCGCCCUCGAGGUGGGAGCUAGUAGAGCCAUUAGAGGUACUCUGAGAGUCCUAGAGUGUCGUCGCUGAAACUUGACAUGCAAAAAGAGAUGCAUACAUUAUGUAGCAUAUUUGUAUAAUUUGAAACUACUGAAAUUUAUCCAUUGAUGAAAGUAAUGUAAAUGUUGUGUGUCAUGCUCUUGUUUCAACCAUAUUUUUCCAGCCUAUUACGUUUAGGCUCCCAGUCCCUAUUUAGCCAUUGCCACUGGGUGUGAGAUCUUUGUCUUGUGUACGCGUAUUGGCACUACUGCUACGGAGAUCUUUGUCUCGCGUCCUAGCGUUUAGGCAUGACAGAAAAUCCGAGGUUUUCACGAAUUGAGGUGUGUUCUACUCGAGUAGAUUAACAACCGUUAAGAGAAGACAUUGAAAAUAAGUAGUCAGCAUUGCGACAAAAAGACUACGUGAUUGCGCGUAAAGUAAUCAUUGAGACUUUUCUGCUUUUGGCGAGGAGAGCGUGUGUUGCCACGCAUAAGAUUUGUGCCUCCUUAGGGUGUAGCCGCUACGAGCCCCCAGCACUCAGUGCACCAAACUCGUAGCCGUAGCCCCUGUUGGCGGAGCUUCUGGAACUCAGUGCACAAAACCCGUGGCUAUAGCCUCCGUAAUUCGAUGUACUUAGCCCAUGGUUGUCGGUUAACAUGCCCCAGGAAUAAUUGGCAAAGUGUAGCUCUGGAGGGUAAUUUCCAUCCAGAGGCGUACACAAAAAAGUACUCGGCACGUUGCCCUGCAUGCGAAAAACAAGCCGGAAAAAUUAUAUAAAAUAAUUUAAAAAGUGACUUAGCUUGAUUCGUGGAUGAAUGCCGACGAAGUCGUGACGAUUGUCGAUGAAGUCGCGACGGUUUUUGAUGAAGCUGACUAGUCAGAGUUGAUUCCGACUAGUUCUUGAUCACAUGUAACCCAACCUCCACUAGUUUGUAGUCAAGAUGAGAAGUUCUAGGUAGUCACUAUUGUGUUGCCGAGCGUUCUGGUGAAGCUAGAACAGUCAUGCAUGUUGAAGUCCCACGUGCAUUUCUUGAGUACGUGUAGUGAAGAGGAAGCUGUUCUGGUACAUAUACUGAAAAUCCAAAAAGUAGCCUUGCACGGAGAGUACUCGAGCUGAUAGUUUCCUCGAUCCGCACACGAGCAGUAGAUGGAAUAUUGAUUGGCUUUCAUUGCUUUAGUAUAGGAUUUGGCAACCGGAGGAAAUUAGCUUAAGAUGCAUCGUCGGUGACUUCGACUCGGAGACGGAAAAAUAAUUCCGCCAGUAUUUUUCCUUCUCAUGAGCAUGGAGAAGUAGCGGAUCAUCAUUCUUGAGCGACGCACGGUGCCACGGAGGAUGAUCAGCUAUAGCAGUGCGACCAGUGCUGCAGCUUUUUGCAUGCAGACGAGCCGACAACCGAUUGAUCUCCCGCAAGUUUCUCGUAUCCGCUUCGACUUGGAACUCGGUGACUUACUUCGCGUCGAGUAGAUUGAUUUUGAAAAUGAGAUGCUUCAAGCUCGCCUGAUGAUCUUGACGAUCACCCAUAUCUAGCGCCCGAUUAUCCUGAGGUAGCAGAUUGGUUGGUGGGGGUCGCCAAACCUGUAACUCAAAGGUAAAAGCGAUGACACGAGACACAGAUUUAUACAGGUUCGGGCCGCCAGAAUAGCGUAAUACCCUACGUCCUAUUUGGGGUGUUGUAUAUUGCGUCCUGCGCUUGGAUGUUAUUUGGUGUUGAGGAUUUGGUCCUGUAUUGUGAUUUUAUAAGGUUUUGACCUACGGAUCCAGGGGGCGGGAUUACCAGCAGGAGUCUAGUAGGAUUACUGGGUAUGAGUCCUAAUAGAAUUACAGAGGAAUUCUAAGAGUCAAUCUUCUUCCUUCCUUGUGGUACUAGGGAUCUAUCCCCGACAACAAUAAAAUACAAUGCUCUUCAAUCUUAAGUGAACUUCAGACCCUUAUCUUGUUUCAUCUUAAAGAACUUUUCAAAAAGAUGCAUAUCCAACAUAAAUGAGAUUCUCUUGCAAAAGUUUAAGAAAUACUCAUCUCAUCCUGUCACUCAAGCCUAUACUUGAUUAUUUUCAACUUAUUCUACUCAUAUAUGAAAGUGGAAGGUUUAUGUGAAGCUUGAUAGGUAAAAAUAAUCCUAGUAAAACAUUAUAUGUGAAAUAUUGUCAAAUUAAGAGAUCUAUUGAAAUUACUAAGACUUGUCAAAAAGACCAUGGAAAAUAAAUGAAAAGUGAGUAAAAGUUUGCUACUAGUGGGUAUAAAAACAACUUCAGAAAAAUUUAAUCAUACUCAUCUUAAUAGGUUGUAGACAAGGAAGAUAAUCACAAAAAUAUAUAUAGGUUUACCAGCGAGGUUUGCAAAUUUUCCAAUGAAGAAAAUCACGAUGCAUGGAUAGUAUAGGCUAGCAAAACAAAGGUAACACAAAAGUAAUGGCUAGCUUCUAAGUCUCAUACCAUUGAAAUCAAUCCUAAUCUAACUCACCAGAAUAUAAGUUUGCAAUCUAAAGGCUUUAUCAUGAAAAUGCAUGCAUGUAUAUAGGGUGCGUUUGGUAGAGCUCCACCUAAUUCUGAUUCUCUAUGGGAGCUGAUUCUCCAAGAGAAAUGAUUCAUAGAGCUGAUUCUCCAAGAGAAAUGAUUCUGUGGCUAAAAGUGAUUCUUUUUUAUUCUUUUAUUCCGAAUUUGUAAUACCGUUAAAGAUUUCUUCGUGGAUAAACUUUUUAAUGAGAAUCACCUUAGUUUAAUCUCGGAUAAAAAAUAACCGAGAUUUUUACUGAGAGUGCAACCUUUGUUUCCUCUCUCUCUCUCUCUCUGCGCUAAUAAGCUCGUGCAAGCUAAGUUAGCGCGAGGCCCAUCAGCUAUCAAACUGGCCCAGCUUGGCCCACCUGCACCUCGCCCCUUAUCCCCGCCGCAGCUUUUGACCGCUAUCUCUUUCCUCCUUUCUUCUCCGUCAAUCGUUGGUUUGCGUCAACAGCAGGAGCUGAAUCCAAGCAAUCUCUUGCUUGCGAUACUUAAAUAUAAACACAAGGCUCCGACGCCGCGGGGAAGGAGGAGCAGCAAGCAAGCAACAAGGUACCCAUCGAAGAUCCGGGCUCCUCUUCCUCUUUCAAUUCGAUCCAAUACCUGAUCUCUCGUUUAUGCAAGCUGCAGGGAGAGCCGUCAACUCAAGAGGAUCGACAAGAACAAGAAGAUGGGCGGCACACUGCAGCAGCAGCUGCUGCUCUUCUUCUUCCUAUCUGCUGUCGCCCCGCAGGUCCGAGCCUAUUCUUUCUUCCCUUCCUCGGCUCUCUCCGACUCUAAUAAUUCAUCUCCAUCUGAAAUAUAUAUUCUACUGCACAACACCAAUAAAGGCAAUAACCAAACGCUAAAAGUACCCAGUCGACUCCAUCCUUUGUUUCUGGCACAGAUCUGCUUCACACAUAGAAUAAUUUAGUUGCUCGAGUACUGAAAUACCACACCGUACUUGUAAGACCUGAACGCACUGCAGCCAGCAAGACAGACAGUUCUAUCUACUUCUGCAAUUUCAUCAACUCAUGGAUGUGCAGGUAGUCAGAGCAGUAAAACCAAUCCCAAAUUCCAAUCUCGGGGUUGAGGAGGGAGACAAUUCCAUAGGAAUCAUCCAGGUCAUUCUGUUAAUCUUCUUUUCCUUUCUCCCACUGAACCCACAUCAUCUCUUGUAGUUGCUCAUGGUGUUGCAUGUCGCAGAAGGACAUCAUACAGACGGUCAACAAGCAUCCUGAUGCUGGGUGGACGGCUGCACACAAUCCUUACUUUGCAAACUAUACUGUAAGUGAAAUAGCAUGCAUAAAGCAUUCAUCAUUUUAUCUUUUCCCCGCUUGUUGACCAUGAAACCAUCACUGUUCCUGCAGAUUGCACAAUUUAAGCAUAUCCUUGGAGUGAAGCCCACACCACGGGAUGCGCUGACUGAUGUUCCUGCCAAAACUUAUUCUAGAUCACUGAAACUUCCAAAGGAGUUCGACGCCAGAUCUAAGUGGUCUCAUUGUAGCACAAUUGGGAACAUACUUGGUAAGUUUAUUUGAUCAACUCAAUGCUAACUCCCUUUCAGCCUGAAAUCUAUUUUAGUUCCCUGAUGAAUGUACUGACACACCUCAUUUCAUCUUUAUUAAUUUACCAAUCCUGUAUGACACUGGUCUUCGUGAGCAGAUCAAGUAAGUUUAUCACAAUAACUUAAAUUGUUAAACGCCGUACGGAACGAUGCAAGAUGCUCAUCGUAUUCUUUUAUCUUUGGUGGACAAUGAUAGGGUCAUUGUGGCUCCUGUUGGGCAUUUGGUGCUGUAGAGUGCCUCCAGGAUCGGUUUUGCAUUCAUAUGAACGUGGUGAGCAAAUAUAACUGAGAUGGGUAUUCUCAUACUGUUGAUAUUAAACUAGCAUUAUUGGUCCUUUUCUUGCAUGAAUAAGCUAUUGUUUCUUUUUCUUGCAGAACAUUUCACUGUCAGUUAAUGACCUACUGGCAUGCUGCGGUUUUAUGUGCGGUGAUGGUUGUGAUGGAGGCUAUCCUAUCAUGGCAUGGCGCUACUUUGUUCAAAAUGGUGUUGUCACUGACGAGGUAUUAGCCUACUCUCUACAACUUAACUGCCUGUGUAUGCUCCAUCAGUAAUCCUAGUUCUUUGAAGAAAUUUAUGUGGAUGGUACAUCAAUUACUAAUGCAAGCUUUGACUAAACCAUGCUAAAAUAUUAUAGCGUAAAUUUGAACUAGGAUAACCUUUUUCCUCCCAGGACAGCAAGGCAGUAGUAUAAGCAGAUUGUAAUCAUCCAUUGUCAUGCUUAAUUCUAAAAAUUUCCCAACAUGGUAAAGACACAGCAUAUUUAUUUGUUGAGUCCAGGAAAGUUACUCUGUUUGAGUUAAAAAAUGUAAUGAUUUCAUUUUGUAUUGAUAGCAUAGAACACAGUAUGAAAUGGAUGAAUGAUCAGGAAACUUUCAACCUGUUAUACACAGAGAAGACCAACAGUUACACUCUUUUGCAGUGCGAUCCAUAUUUUGAUCAGGUCGGUUGCAAUCAUCCUGGAUGCGAACCUGCUUAUCCUACACCAGUGUGUGAAAAGAAAUGCAAGGUGCGGAACCAAGUUUGGGAGGAAAAGAAGCAUUUCAGUGUCAAUGCGUACAGAAUAAAAUCUGAUCCACAUGACAUAAUGUCAGAGGUCUACAUAAAUGGCCCUGUAGAAGUUGCUUUCACUGUUUAUGAGGUAAUGUCCAGUUUCUUGUCUCAAGUUUUCCAUGCAUUGUACCAAUGUUGUCAACAAAUUUUUAGUAGUAGCUAUCAAGGACUAUGGGGUGUAUUACUUUGAAAGGAAAAAUACAAAAUACAAAAUCUUAGAAAGGCUAUCUAAAUAAAAGCUCAGGAAGAACAGGACAAAACCAGAACAAGGGAAAGAGUACCAACCAAACAAACGGAUCAAGUAUAGACAGUACUGUGGUUUGAGAACAUUUUUAAGUCUUUGAAAAUAUAUUAUCUGAGUGAAAAGUGGCUCAGAUUCACUUUUAUUUUUCUGAUUUGACAAUGCAAAAAUCUCUCAGGACUUCGCCCACUACAAAUCUGGAGUAUACAAGCACAUUACCGGUGGCAUGAUGGGUGGCCAUGCCGUCAAGUUGAUUGGAUGGGGAACCAGUGACGCCGGAGAAGAUUACUGGGUAUGCUGUUGGAUCACCAUAUUAUUAUGUGCAUUGUCAAACGAUGAGGCCAGUCCCUAAGUUGUUUUGUUUCAUCCUCUCUGCUUUUCAGCUUCUUGCAAAUCAGUGGAACAGAGGCUGGGGUGAUGUAAGUUUCUGGCGAAUACCUAGCUUACCCAAAUGACUAUUUGAAAUGCAGUAUCAUGUGUUGAGCAAUCGGUAAUGCUUUGCAGGACGGGUACUUCAAGAUCAUUCGAGGCAGAAACGAAUGUGGCAUCGAAGAGGACGUUGUUGCUGGAAUGCCAUCGGGAAAGAAUAUGGUUGGAAACUACGGCGGCUCCUUUGGAACAGCUGUAAUUUGAUUUGGUUGCUGCCCUAAUCUGAAGUAUCAUCGGAUACAAUAGCUAUGCAUUUUUAUAGCUGAUGAAAUUGGAGUAUUGUGUACAUGAGCACGUUGGCAAGGCUGGCAGGUUGCUGAGAUGGCAACUCCUGUUCUGAAUCGAAGUGAUCAAUUGAUAUGUAGCACAUACUGGAUAAGAAGCCUGUGUAAUUGAUCGACAGACAGACAUAAUAAGAAGCCUGCUGAAUAACUGAUGGAGUGCAAACUAAUACUACAAUACAUGACAUUACUGUGGAUGGUUUCUCAGCAAGCAGGCGAGGAGGCUCCGACCUCAGUCUCCAUAACAGCAGUCUCUGCUGCGACCUCUGGCUCCAUAAGGUUAAGGUUAGGGACGAAGCUAGCUUCAAAAUUACAGUGGUGCACCGCUUAAGGACUUAAGCGUACAAAAAUAUAUGGCAGUAUAUGGUAAAUAUGAGUGUGACUAGUGGUAAAAAAAAAUUUCCCGGGUGCAUGUGCAUCAGGCAAACUCAACGUAGCUUCGCCCCUGCAUAAGGUCAAAUUGGUCUAUUUGCCAUCUGAAACUAAAAUUUGCCCACUAGCUUAAAUUAGCGAUAACCUGGGCCGACCGAUCACACAGAUUCAAAUCGGCCACCGUGGGCUGACAACACAAGCCUUUUCUCUUUUUGUUCACAAUAAACUCUCAAAACUUUGCUUUUCAUUUCCUAUUUUGAAAAAAUAAUACCAGUUAAAUUUUAAAAUAAAUUUAGAAAAAUACGAACAGCCGCGUUGAAAAUUUAAAACCGGGUGAGCAAGUUCCAUCGUAAAAAACCUUACAACUCACCUACGUCCCUUCUUUUUUCCUGUAUAAUCCACCCUGACCCUAUACUUUUGUGAAAAGAGAGAACAUCCGCCGCAGCAUAUGUAUCCAUCCGCUGUUAACUCAAACUGUACAUUGUUGGACAUAUAUUAGUAUAUUACUGACCUUUUUUUAUUUUUUGGGUUAUCUCGGUUUCUGUGACAUGAUAUCUCCGAAAUGUGAUGCUCUGCACCAGCACAGGAGGCCAACUUGUUCUUUCUUUAUACUGCGCGUGACCUGCAAGUUGGAGAGUGGCACAUUUACAGUUAUUGCUGAUUCCUCUGGUACAAAUGGCAGCCGGUUGUUUUAGUACAACAGCCGGGUCCUAGAGCUGCGCGCACAUGUUUGCUCUGAAGGCUGCAGCAGGCGAGAGCAAGGCAAACGAAUCCAAGUUUGAUCAUCGGCUGCCGGUGGUUGCUGCAUUUUGGUGCAGCAGCAUAUGGUUACCAGAUCAUGUAUGGUAGUUAUAGUGGCAGUUAAGGAGGCCUAGCUCGGUAGCACUAUGAUAGAUCCAGCAAGUUCUGGAACGAUCUUCUCAAAUGAAGUACAAACCAUCCUUCUGUGCUACUCUUCCGAUCCAAAUUGCAAGUUAUGUUAACUUUUCUAAAUUUAUAAAUUGAAAAGAUAAUCAGGAGUAUUUGGGACGAAGUUUAGUGAAAUUUAAAGACUUUGCAGUUGAUUUCGGAGGUGUUAGAGCUUGGAACUUCAUUAGAACGAAGUAUAAGCUUCAGGCUUCAGCUAUUCAACCAAGGCUCAAACAGGUAUACGAUGGAAUCUUAACCCCACUAACUAUAAUAUAGCAAGGUCUUCUCCAGCGGUUAGAAUCAACCACUAGCUCAUAGCAAUAAAAAAUGGUAUAAGAGACAAUUUGUCCAAUAAUUAACUCUUAGUACAUAGCUUAAAAUAUAAAUGAAUCCACGUACCAGUAAUCUUGAAAUACUUGAUCCUCUCUUUCUCCCUCUUCCACCUAGAUAAAAUAUUGUAUUUUAAUUAUAUGAUAUCAUUGGAGGAGGCCUAACUACUCUUCGUUGGAGGUAGUAUAUGUGUAAUAUAGUAACAUUCAUGCACUGUCACAGACACAGAGUAACCGUUUCAACCGGUUCCUCGAAUAGGCUGCGAAGAUACUGUCACAUAGACGCAUCGGUAUACAUACAGUUUGCCGGAUCAUCCCCACAGAGACCAAUUUCAAAAAUUUAGGCACAUGAUCGAGCACCCAUUCUCAGCAUCCAGCCUCGACAGUGCAGACCACUUGACGCUUGACGGUCCCAUGCAUGCACGAUCAACUCGGCACCAUUGAUCGAUCCAUCCGCCCGUUAUUUUUCCCGUGCCCUUUAAUUUCCUUCGCUUAGCCGGUUAGCCCAGCAGCAGCUAGCUCUAGCACAUGAUAUCGGAAAGCGUAGCCGCCUGCCGUCCAGCGACACCGAGCGAUCCUGAAAUCAUCGGAUCGGCCGCGAACCACCGGCCCAAUGCAAAGCCAAAGCCACCUCGGUACCACUACCACCUGCACGCAUGCAACGGCCACCACCACCGUGGCACCGUACCCGCCGGUCCAUCCACCUGAUCAUCCCCCACCCCAACCGCCGGUCACGCCGCGCCUUGUUAUGGCCGGUCCAAGAUGCCGUAGCCCGGCAGCGGCACCCGUCGCUAGCUCCUAUCCAGCGGGUCAAACAAGCGGCGCCCAACCGGCCGGGGCACAUGCCCAGCGCGCGUACGUACUUACCUGUGCCGUGCGCGCCGCGCCCGGCCGGCCUCGCGCGGCGCCAAACACCACGCCCCACAACACACAUGCCGAGGCGAUCCGCGAGCCGAUCCUACUCAGCAGUUGGGUAUCCCACGCGCGGGGGACCCCCCGCGGCCGAGGCGGUCGGGGCGGGGCGGCGUACGCAUGAGCGGCGAGCUGCUGACCGGACAGGCGUAUCCCCGCUGCGGAUCUCGGCGCCCGCCUGCUACGCGAUCCCCUCGUGCACGAGCCGCACGGCCGCCGCGCCGUGCCCCACGUACUACUACUACCGUUCGGUGCAUGCGACUGCACCGUGAAACUCGCGAUGCCGCGCGGCCUGGCGUGGUGCGCGUCGAAGCGCCCGCGGUGACUCACCCCGGUCGCGUGCGUGUCGGUUGGCCGGCCGUUAAAACCGUUGCAACUUGCGAUUUGCCUGCAAAAAUACUGCUCCCAGCUCUGCUUUCGCGGUAUCGGAUUCUGGUGUCGUUCCAGUUUCACCUGCCUCUAGGAUUCUAUCCAUGUCGCUAUCUGUCUUCCCUUCCGGUGUCGAUUUGACCUUGAUCUAGUGCCACACAGUAGCUGGGCAGCGGCGGAUGAUGCAACACGCCGUGUGCAUUAUUGUAGGCAAGCGUUUUUUCCCCUACUAAACCAGUUUGGCUAACCUCGCGUAGUCUGAUUAUAUAUAGGCAGCUCGAUUAUACAACUGUUUUGGUGAUACUGCGACUGUAGUAGGGUCACAUCAGUCCAGGACCUGCCAGAUAGGCUGUGUCCGCAUCCAAGGAGGCCUGCUUUAAGACCGGACAAGGACAGAGAUCAGAUUAGGUUCUCCACGGAGAUACUGCCAUGUGAGCGCCAUCUCGCGCUGUCACUUCAUCCCGCAGCACUAUCACGACGUAAGUUGCCUGAUGAAGAACACAUAUCCUUUUAGCUACUGCUCCAGCUACCUAGCUAGAGAGAAGAAAAGAAAGACACAACAUGGCUAGAGAAAAAGGGUUAUAGGAUAGGCCAAGAAAUUGGUUGCGGUCGUCAGACUAUCAUCGACCCGGUAACAUGACAACUCACACAAGGCACCCCAAACGGAGCUAGCUGCUGUUGGUACUAACAGGUAACGGGAAAACUAAAGCUACUAUGAUCCACGUCACGCAUGUGUUGCAUAUAUUCCUGGAGAGAUCGAGAGCACGCAGUGUUAUUCGGGCUGAUCUAAACAAGAAGCAGCAACGCGAUCCUCAAACUCAGAUCGGCACACAACGCUCUCAUCACUACAGGCCAUGCCCAUACGUAACGAACUCAUCAUGAUUCUUGAGGCUAUAGUCUCAUCUCAGCAACCGGAGAUGGAACUGACUGACUACAGGAUGCCGAUGAGCUGAUCCGGCGUCUUGCAAAUUAUUAAAUGCGAAACCCGCAGCGGCACACACACUGAUUGAGCCCACGUAGGAGGUCCCCCGGCUCCCGUAAAUACCGAUCGAUCGGUCGGGCGAUGGGUGAGACGUUGCGUCACAUGCAUGCAACGCACGAAAAAGAGGCCGCGUCCCGGUCCGCGCGCGGGGCCAUGCAACGCAUGGAGAGAUGGAGCCGGAUCGGAGCCCGUCGGCGCCGAUGCGCGUGGGGGCACCCGGCCCGCGGCGCGCGGGCGGGACGUACUCGCGUACGCGCGUGUCGGAGCAGUGCACCUCGCCGUGCCGACCGGCGCCGACGUACGGUACGAAGCUGCUGUCUGCCGGCCGCUUGGCCAAACGCAGCGCGGUGCGUCGCGCCGCUGCGCCUCCGGCCAUUACUUCGUCCCAGCUCGGUUGAUGAAGCUUAGCUGAAGCUUGGGACGUGACAUGCCGUGGAUGCAGCAUGUGAACGUGUUUAAUACACGGUCGCCGAUCGAGUUUUAUUUGGAUGGAUGUACGGGUGGACACCGUGCGCGUACCGCCGGGCGAGCUGCUGGUGAGAAGAUGAGAUCGAUCAAUGAACUGCAACGCUCCCCUGCAUGUGUUCAAUAAUUCCAAUAAUUCAGUAGUGCGCUGCGUGGUUCCCAUUAGGAUUGUACAUUGCAUGUACGCGCCGGGCCAGCCACCAGCAUCCGUUUGGCUGUAGGUACGUACUACUGUACGUACAGUGCUAGUCAUCACGCAUUAAGUGCAAUAGCGCAUGCAUGCUUGCUGUUAUUCGUACUGGAUUUGCAUGCAGUUAAAUUUCUGGUACUUCUGAUCGACUUGCCUGAUCUGGACCGUCAUCUUCCGGCAGGAGUACCCAAUGCAAAGUACUUUCGCAGUAUAUCUUGGCUUAAAAUCCUACAUCGUCGACGAUGCACUACUCAUUUCAGGUGUCCCCAGCUAGCUUAGGUAUCCAGGAAUGUGAUUAUCUCGCCAACCAAAUCCAGAAAGACAUCCAUACAGGCAUAUAGCUGAUCCUGAUUGAGUACCACCAGCAAACUGCAAUUCCGCGAUUAAUGGAGACGCAAAUAUCCAACCACCUCACGCCAGUCUUGCACAAGGUAUCGUCGCAGCUAGCUAGCUAGCUCCUGCAGUACAUGUAUGAUCAGGUCUUGUUAACAGCUGAUUCGAUCGUGCUGUGACAGUAUCAGAAUUGAAGCCGGGCCAAUCCUGGAGCUCGAUCGUUUCUCCAGCCGAUCGACGGAGAGCGACCGAACUGGCGAUGACGGAUAAAGCUACAGCCAGUCCAAGUAGUAGCGAUCCUACAUUUAUCCGAGUAGCAAUCACGUCCGGUGGCGCAUGCUUGCGUACAGGUACAGAAGAGCCAUCGCGCUAGCGUACUCGCUUGCAUGUGAGUACAGCUCGGCACCAGAGGAGUGCCCUGGCCCGCGACAGGUCACGCCGGCUCUAUCAUACAUGCCAUGCAUCAUGCAUCGCCGUCGUCAUCAUCAUCUCCUAAAUCUGAUUGUUAGGGCCCGUAAUCUCGUCCCAACUGUCGUAUCGUUGUUGGUAUGAUCGGCCGCUAAACUUUUUUCUCGAAUACUCUGAAGAAGCUGCGCAUCAUUGUAUUAAGAACAAGUAAAUUGCGAGUCGAUCAGGCAGUUUAGGGUUGGGGACGAGAUACAGCAGAGAUGAACUAUCAAGCCAAUUGUCCGUCCAGAAUUUGAUCCUGAGGCCGUUCCCAAGCUCAGCACGGACCGACGCUUGAAAGAAAGCCUGAACAUCUGAACUGACUUUGAUUUCCAAGGUGGACCAUGCCCGAUCGUCGUCCGUCUCCUGUAACCACAUCCAUCUAGUCUGUAGGGCAAUGCCUGCAAGCUUCAGAUCUAACACCCCAAGUCCCCCUGCAGUUGUCGGACGGCGGAUUGUUCUCCUCCUGCCCAGAAGAAAUUCCUUCUCAAGGCGUCAAUUUCUUCAAUUGCCCAUGAGCGGAGGUUGUCUGCCAUGAUUGUGUAAAUUGGAACCGCCAAUGCAACCGAUUUGACCACUAUCAGUCGCCCACUCUUGUUCGUGAGCGUGCCAUGCCAUGGUGUAAGCUUUGCGGCUACCUUCUCGAUGAUUGGCCUGAUUUCAGCUUUGGGCAGUGGCCUGGUCGAGAGUGGGACGCCAAGGUACCUGAUGGGGAAUUGCUGAGUUUGACAGGGCAGCUCACGCUGGAAUUCCAAGAGAUCGCUGUGCUCCCCAAAGAUAGUCCUGUUUGGCACGGCUCCACUCCUAAACUCCAGCAACUCCAUCAAAAAAUUCAGCCAAACACCCCAACUCCAAAACUUCAUGGAGUUACCAACUCCAUGAAGCUGUAGUGCAAAUGGAGGUGGAGUUUUGGAGCACCUCUUUUGCUGCUCCAGAAACCUCUCUUUUGAACCUUCUCGUGGAGUUGGUGGGUAAUUACUCACCAAUGCCACUGGUUACACAAAAAACGUUUCAUUCUAUUCUCCCUUCUAUUCUCCCGAGCCCCACUCGCCGCCAGAGCCCUGCCCAUCGCCGCCCCCGUGGCCGGCCGGCCCCGCCGCCCGUCGCCGCGCCCAUCGCCCGUCGCCGCCUGCCGCCGCCCGUCGCCCGCCGCCCGUUGCCCGCCCGUCGCCACCCACCCAGCCGCCUGUUGUCGCCCGUCGCCGCUCGCCGCCCAUCGUCGCCCGUCACCGCCUGUCGUCGCCCGUCGCCACCCGCCGCCCCGUCGCUACCCACCCCGCCGCCCGUGGAGGGUCUCCCGUAUGCGGCACAGUGCAGUGGAAAAAGGGGAAGAAGAAGAUGGGAUAGAGAGGAUGAGAAGUGGGGCCUUAAUUGGGGGGCAACAAUGGCAAUCCACACUAAAAUCGAUCUUUUUUAGAGCUGAGAGCACCCAUCUAGCCAAACACCUCAUUUUUUUCUGGAGUUUUGGAGCGGAGCUGGCUCCACGUGGAGUUCUGAAGUGGAGCAGCUCCACCCGGAGUUGGAGCCAUGCCAAACAGUGCCCGCGUGAUUGAGCAUUUGAGGAGAUUGGUUCGUAGUCCUAACGCAGAGCCGAAGAUGUCCAGCAGCCUCGCAAUGGCGCGUCCCUCUCGCUGCGAUGGCGUGGCAAACAGGAUUGCGUCAUCCCCGUAGAAGCUGCAGUGAUGCUCCACCUUCGUGAUCCCGGGCUGCAGAAUGCCUCAUGCAGCUGCCUGACGGAAUAUGCGAUCAAGCACAUCCAUAACGAUGACAAACAACAUUGGCGACAGAGGAUCCCCUUGGCGUACGCCGCGUUGGUGCUGGAUCGGCUGACCCGGACAGCCAUUCAGUAGAACCUUGGAGCUGGCCGUGGACAUUAGCGCAGAGAUCCAUUCGCACCAUUUUCUACUGAAGCCUCUUGCGUGCAGAACUUCAAGAAGAAAUGGCCAAGAGACCGUAUCAAACGCUUUCGAGAUAUCCAACUAAAAACUAAAAACCGCAUUUCAUUCUCUUCCUUAAUCUAGCUCGGUUUGGCGCUGUCUCUUUGAUUAAACUUUCGUUUUGCACAUAAAACGACGAGAUCGAUGGUUCAUUGUGGAAGCUGAUUUUGACCCUUUUGAUGUGGACACGUACUGCAGGCUCGACAAGGGGUACGAACACAGCCACACUGCAAACACUCAUUGACAGACCCGUACAGAGUUACGCGGAAAGGGCAAACGACGAUCACGGAAUACUUUGGAGAAUACUGGAGAUUAGUUAGUCUACAUUAAUCUUGGUAAAAACAUCAAGGUCCAGACAAAGCGCGCCGCGCGGGAUCAGUACCAUCUUGACUCUUGUGGGCUUUAGGCACGAGCGGAAUAGUACUAGUAGGCUAAUCCACGCAAGCACAUGCAUGUCCUACUAGGCUCCAAUUUUGUCCACCAAAUCAAAUCCCCCCUCACCCAAACCACCAACCAAUUUGACGCUUUGCCCCCUCCGACGCCACCGAUCCGCGCAACCCAACCCCCAAAGCCCCAACCCGGACGCCAGGCCCCGGCGGCUACAUAUAGCCCGCGCGCCGGGACGGAGCACAAGCACCUGCUGCCCAUUCAUCGGCUGCAACCGCAAGCGCGGCUGUUUGAGCGAGCGAGCGAGCCGAGCUCGCGAUCGCCGCCUGCGCCGCCAUGGACCCCUGCGCGUUCGUGCGCCUCACCGUGGACCAGCUCCUCCUCAAGCUCCCCGCCGUGCAGCGGCCCAGCUCCGGCGCGGGGGUGCACCCCUCCACCUCGCCCUGCUUCUGCACGCUCAGCCUCCAGGACCACCCGGCCUCGCUCUCCCGCACCGCGCUGCUGCCGCUCGCGUCCGCCGCCGGCGCCGCGGCGGCGGCGGCGCACGCCGACCCCGUCGUGCUCAGCCUCGACGCCGAGGCCGUGCGGAGGCUCUCGGCGCGCCCCGCCGAGCUCGUCGUGUCCGUGCACGCGGGCCAGACGGGCACCAACUGCGGCAUCAGCGCCGCCCGCGCGCUGGGCCGGGUGCGGGUGUCCGUCGACGUGGCGCGCGCCGCGGCCGGGGAGACCGUCGUCGCCCGCGACGGGUGGGUGGACGUGGGGAAGCCGGGGUCCGCGUCGUCGGCGUCCUCCGCCGCCGCCGCCUCCGCGCGCGCGCAGAUCCACAUGGUCGUGCGGGCAGAGCCCGACCCGCGGUACGUGUUCCAGUUCGGCGGCGAGCCGGAGUGCGGGCCCGUCGUGUACCAGGUGCCCGGGGGAGCCGCUGGCGGCGGGCAGCGGCAGCCGGUCUUCACCUGCCGGUUCAGCGCCGGACGGAGGGCAACCAGGAGCAGGUUGGUAUAGCUUACCUAGCUUGGCCUUGCAGUUCACAUAACACAUAUUUUUCUGCGUGCCACUUGCAUUGCAUCAUCUUCGUCGAUUUGCUUGCACGUUCAGUUAUCCUUGUUCGUGUGUUUCGUUUGAUCACUCAUCGAUAGAAUUUGAUUUUGGAGCUAGUAAGUCCUUGUGUAGUUCAUAGUUUCAGACUUGCAGAGACCAAGAAUGCUAGCUAGACAUUAGCAGGCAAGGGUGAUCCUGUUCUUAUGGAGCAUUAACUGUUGGUCCAAAUGAACAGAUGGAUACAAAGUGGCUUAAGAGAGACAGAUAUACAAAUCCAGUGGUCAAAAGUUUAAAACUCGAGGAUAAACAGACGCUCUAAAUUAGCAAAUCUGCUCAAACAAAAUAAGUUUAAAGUAAUGGGGUUUGGUCAUCAGAUAGCUGGUGGAGAUUUUUAAACAAGUCAGUGUCAGUUGCCAUAAGCUAAUUAAUUAUAACCGUGUAUCUUCAUGCAACCAUCAGUUCGAACAAAAUUUUUUUGGGGAAAACAGCAGGAAGUAAGCACAGCUAGAUAGCUCAAUACUUCUCUUCAUUUUUUUAGAGAAAAAGUCAAAAGCAUUUCCCCUCUUUCCGUUUUUGUUUUGAUUUUUCUGCGUACCUUUCAUAUUAUUGGAUGCCAGCUCUUAGAUACUUUGCUGUUUAUCAUUGUACUACCGGCAUUAUAUUGGCAAAGACACUUGAUAAAAAUAAUAUCGUAACCUCCACUUGCAACUGAGAAUAACUAUUUUUUUCGCCAUGGAAGUUAGCAUUUUCGUUGGAAUCAAAAUGAAUUGGCGAACACAGGAGAAUCCAUGUCGCUGUCUACAGAAUUGUAGAAAGCAAAAAUAAACCAGACCAAUAUUUUUUUCAUCAAAUUCCAGGAUACAAAUACAUUAGUCCUGCAAUCGGAGCUGUCAAGUUGGUUCUCUAGAGAAACCUUCGGUGUCAGUGCUGCUCAGAUCCCCAUUAAUCCAGCUUGCUUAAGGUAUCAGAAUAAUUUUACUUAAAACUAGGACUGAUCUCUUAAACCUGAAAACACAUCCAUCAUGCUCAGAUACAGAGACGACACACCAACCGUGCAUGUGAUGGACUUACCAACCCAGCUCCUUAUUAAUCUGCUCUGCGAAGAUCGCAUAGCUGGCUCAGAAUCUUCCAUAUAUCAGGUCCAGCUAACCCUGCACGAGGUCGGAUUACCAUCGCCUUUACCUGCUAAUCUUGUCGCAUACACACUUGGCGCCACGCCAACGCUAUGAGUAUAUGAUAUUGUGUGCAAUGCAACACUUUACUAGAUUUACUAGGGAAAAAAAUUGCAAGCAUGCGCCUGCACGUUACGUUCAUGUAUAACAGUAUAAACUAGCUAAUCUCGCAUGUGCUCUGCAAAAUUUUGACCAGAUCGCUGACGCCGCAGUCGUCCAUGACCCGGAGCACCAGCCGGAGGCUGAGGUCCUGGCUCAGCGGCACCCUCCACGGCGACGGCCGCGACGGCUCGCGCGCGUCGCGCGAGCAGCGCAAGGGGUGGACGGUGACCAUCCACGACCUGUCGGGCUCCCCCGUGGCGGCGGCGUCGAUGGUGACCCCGUUCGUGCCGUCCCCGGGCUCCGGCCGCGUCUCCCGCGCCAACCCGGGCUCCUGGCUCAUCCUCCAGGCCACGGGCGCCGGGCCGUCAAGCUGGAAGCCCUGGGCGCGCCUCGAGGCGUGGCGCGAGCGCGGGCCCGUCGACGCGCUCGGGUACCGCCUCGAGUUGGUCUUCGACUCGGGCCCCCACGAGUGCGCCGUCCCCAUCGCCGAGUCCUCCAUCAGCACCAAGCGCGGCGGGCAGUUCGUCAUCGACCCGGCCACAUUCCCGGAGGCCACCGCCGGCGCCGCGUGGCCGUUCGCCGGCGGCUUCGUCAUGGGCUCCACGGUGGAGGGCGAGGGGCGGGCGAGCCGGCCCACCGUGCAGGUCGGCGUGCAGCGCGUGACGUGCAUGGGCGACGUUGCGGUGUUCGUCGCGCUGUCCGCGGCCGUCGAUCUCUGCAUGGACGCCUGCAAGCUCUUCUCGCAGCGGCUCAGGAAGGAGCUGUGCCAGGACCAGGACGACUGAAAAGAGACCGACCCGACAGGACCCGAGGGGGAAGUGUAGUAGUGCUCUUGGGUUUUGGGUUUCAUGCUGUGGAUUGUAUGGUGCUCGUGGUUAAUGUAGUAGGCCAUUAUUAGCUGUGGUUUCUUGUGGAGCUGAAGGCCCUAUGGCUGUUUUUAGUGUAGGCUGGGUCGGAUCACAAGAACAGAGCGGGGUUGGUUCAUUCCCUUAUUCUUUCAUUACAGCAUUCAAUUCUUUCGAUUCUUUCAUUACAUAUCUCUUCUUGUUCAGUUCGAAAGAUACAUUGCAUGGCUUCAGAUAUAUUAUAGUCGAAAUCGACAAUUUCGGCAAAGAAGCCGGAGAACGUAUCCAGCCAAGCGAUUGCUCUGUUUACGCUUUCAGCUCCGCGUUGCUCUUCCUUCUUUCUAGAGGCCUUUCAGGAACUCGUCGAACGCCACGUCAGACGAUCCGCCUUCCUUGAGAGCGUCGACGGCCAUCUCCUUGGCCGUCACGAGCCUCUCCCUGAGCCUCUUCCCUUCCUCGGACUCCAUCACCAGCUUCACCUUCGCCCCCAGCUCCUCUGCCCUCACCAGCUCCUCCUCGUAGCCCUCGACCGCCACUCCGACCUUCAUCUCCUCGACCAUGUGCACCUUGUUCAUCCUCUGCUCCGAGUACAGAGGCCAGCAGAUCGUCGGGACGCCGGACACGAUCCCCUGCAGUGCCGAGUUCCACCCGCAGUGCGUCACGAAUGCGCCGACGGCGUCGUGCUGCAGAACCUCCAUCUGCGGCGCCCAGUUCAUCACCACCAAGCCCCUCUCCCUGGUCCGGUCCAAGAAACCCUCAUGAAGCAACGCCUCCAUGUCCGGCUCGAGGGAUUCGUACGGGUGCUCAGGCGGGUUGCGCACAACCCACAAGAAUCUUUGCCGAGUUCUCUAGCCCGCACGCAAUCUCUCUCAGCUGCGCCGCCGAGAAGAUGCCCAUGCUGCCGAAGCUGAGGAACACCACGCUCCGCGGCUCCGGUUCGGCUGCGUGUCCAGCCACGCGAGGCACGCGUGCCUCUCGCUGCCUCCACCACCCGUUGUGUUCCCAGGGAGGACCAAUGGCCCAAUGCAGUAGACCGGGGGAGUUGAGAGGCCUGGCGUGCAAAGCCCACACCUGAGGGUUUUCAGGGCCCGUGCCUCCAGCCAGUCGAAGCUGUUCACGAGGAAGCCUCUCGCUCCGGGCAUGCGCGCGCACUGGCGCAGCCGUGCCCUCGCGAUGUCGCUCUCCCUGUCCUGCAUCGUGGUCGCCAUGUCCAUCGCGCGGAUCGGCGGCACGCCGGGGAAGUGCAGCGCGGUCUCGGGCAUGUCCCUCAACGGACGCACGGGGAAGUUGUACGGGAGGUGGAGCAUGACGGCGAGGUCGCCGAGCUCGGCGGCGACGUCGAGCGCGUCGGUGCAGAACAUGUCGACCACGAGGACGUCGACGGCCGGGAGCGCGCGCAGGAAGGCCCGGAGCGCGGGUUUGGCGACGCGGAGCACGUCGAUGGUGCGCAUGAUGGGGUGUGACUAGCGUUCCCUGACGGUGGGAGGGACGGGGAGGUGCCGGAACGUGAUGCCCGGGAUGGCGGCGGCGAGGCGGCCCGUCGCGUCGGGCGAUUCGACGGCGGCGAUGACGACGGCCACGCCGCGGCGCAGGAACACCUUGGCCAGCUCUGGCCCACGCCCAGCGAGGGGUAGAGGACCACGGUCUUCUGCUUCCCGAUGGCCAUCGCUCCGUGGCGAGCGAGGGAGAUGGCACCAGAGACUACAAAUGCAUUGCGAGUGCCUAGAGGCUUGGAAGGCAUGCAUCUAUAUAGCAUGGGUUGCGAGCAUCGCCUGCGUGUAUCUUGACUGCUGCGGGUGAUCAAGACGUAUCAUAUGGGAGAAACGACAGCUGAAAGCCGAUCUUGUCAGUGGCCAUCAUGGCACAAGUGACUACGGCACCAAUUUCAGAAGAGACUAAACCACGUGUGCGCAACGUUCCGGGAAGGGCACUCGCACAAUCACACAUGUCUGUAGUCGGCCAGUUGAACCGUCGAAGAAAGUAUGUAACCGUGGCAGUUUCCAGGCCAUAGGCGGCAAUGUAGCACGUAAUCAUGGGCAUGCUACGGGUAUCAUGUGACCCGCUCAUGCAUUUCCUCAUUCAAGACAAAACACUCAACACUCGAUACAAGAGCUCGUUUGAUAUCAGCAACGAGAACUCGUGGAAGAUCGAUCUUUAUCAAGAGCAUUCACCUUUUGACCAGAGAAAGUAAUCGGAUUGCCAUCAAAAAGGAAAAGUAAUCGGAUUGGAAAAUCACUUUGUGUAAGCCAGAGUCACAGCACAUCGGAGAGCUAGUGCUUCUACAACUUAUGAUAUAGUAAUGCCAUGGAAAAACUGACAUCAUCUCAUCACACAUCUAUCCAAAUGGUUCCGCACCACCACACCAAUAGUCGAACUUGAUGAAGAAGGGAAAAUUGUUGCAUCAGCAUUAAGGGAAACCAAACCAACUCGCGAUGGAGUCAAUUUCUUAAUUUCCUUCGGAACUCCACACCUUAAAGGCUGAAUUGGCUUCGUACAAUUCAACAUAAUCAUAUUCACAUGAGCUUGAAUCUUCUUGACUAUCACCUAAGGACACACUAGUUUCAGAGUUAGUAAUUUCAUUAUGAGCAUCCCGGGUGUACCAACAUGUGGGAACUACUUCUACACACAGUAUCUUGGUGCAAUGACUCAACAAGUCAAUAUAACUAUGGUUUAGCAUUUCGUAGAUGUAGCAAAAGGGUACAUUAAAAAACAAUGCUCAAUCUCUUCAUCUCGGCCACAGAAACAACAUGUAGGAUUAUCUGGAAUAUGACGUCUUUGUAGCUGAUGUCCCACGGUCAAGCAAUCAUGAACAAGGCAUCACAAAAAAUAUUUUCAUUUUAUUCGAGGCUUUGAUGAACCAUAAUUUCUUCCAAAUUUUCUGCUCACUAAAAGUAUCAGACAUAAUAGCAGCUUUUGGCCUACUUCGAAAAGAUGCAAAGGAAAACGUACAAAGAGGUGCACGUCAAAUUAUAAGUUGACUUUACUGUAUAUAAUCACCAAAAUCAGACCGGUUCAGAAAUUGAAACCGAGGAAAAACUCAAAACAUUUUGGGCUGAAAAAUUGAGCCCAUACGGCCAUACAUACCCACAAAAAGCAUUAGACCGGAAUUUUCGGGAUGUUAUAAGGCUGGACCGAGCCCGCCUAAUUUUUUCACGCAGCCAAAAUCAUCACUACAGCCAAAAAAAAAAAAACCAUUGAGCUAUGGUCCGGGCUUAGCCCAGCAGGCUCGGGGGACCAACCAACCAAAAAGUCUCAGUCCUUGCUUGCAAACAGCACAACCAAGUAAUGGUCGUCUAGGGUCACCACUCUCAUCUAGGCUGGCUUGGUGCACCGUGUACAGAGGCGACGCCACUGGAAAAAGAACUACAUGCAUCCUUCCCACUGUCCUACAGACCUAACCCCAAUGAAGUUCCACCUCGAUGGUGCCACGUGCUGUGCUAUCGCAACAAUCUCAAUAUUCCUUUACUUUCUCAUUCAGCAACCAUAUAUAUGGUAGGAUUGAGAAAUCAUAGGGAUGCUUGGGGUUAGCGAAAUGAUCAUGUCAUAUCCAUCAGGAUUAGUUACAUGGGGUUGGAUUUGGAGCAAGAACGUACAACUUUUCCCCGCCAGUGGAGGGAGGGGGGCAAAAGCUAGCCCCCCAUGCAAUAAUCUAAAUUUUGAUUUUGAAACACCUCUCAUGUUAAUUUUUCUAGCUUCGUGGAUGACCAAUCAUGCAUUUAGUACAUCUCCAAUUGUAUACGUGUUAUUUCUCAACUCCUUAAUAGAUUAGCUAUAAUUCAAAAUACAAUGUGGGGUUUAACAUGGUUCUUCCUUUGCUCAUAGUAAACCCCGAAAUAUACGUGCAAACGCUCAAGAGUGCAUCACCGGCACGAAACAUCCUACUUACAUGUGAAUAUCAAUAAGGUUCAAGAAUCAUUUAAUUUGUUGUAAAUACGUCGCAUAUCAUUUUCAUAUCUAUCUGGAACCAAAUUAGCCGGACGAUCGAUGCUCUUCAACAGGGGAGGAGGGCAUUGACCCCUUAUGGAUUGUGAUUAGGUAUUGCUUCAACAAUAAAUCUUGUUUUAUCGCCUGAGAAACCCCACGCUGAGUCUGGUUAUCAUAUUAGACCACUUAUGGCUGUUCUGUUUUCUUUUGCGGCCCAUAAUGCAUGUAGCAAUUGAUCAAGUGCGCACAUGCAACAAAAAGCAAACCAGUGACAUCAUCCCACCCCACCCCACAUGCGAAGAAAAUUUGAAACUAAAAAAAGGCCAUAAUAUCAAAUCAAGCAUCCCAAAUUAAGUUACAAAUCGUAUCAAGCAUUCAAGCUACAACAAGAUCUUUAUGUUUGGAUACUAUUUUUAAAAAUAUUUUUACCAAGUUGGAAUUUUUAUAAAUUAUUCUAGGUUUAGGAGAAAAAUGUUCUAGCUUCAAAAUAAAUAUUCCGUAAAAAAAUAUAAAUAUAAAAAGGUAAUUAGUUUUAUUACUGCUAACAAAUACUACGUACGUUCUCAUGUUUAGGACAACUAACUAAUUCCUUUUGAACUAAUUAGACAAGCUAACUCGUUCAUUUUUAAAUUAAUUAGUUUAUCCGUCAUAUAUGAGGAUCGUUCGAAUUCAAAAAGAUUAAACACGACACACAAAUACACAAAUGAUAAUAUAUUGUAAACAAAUAUUGAACAUUAUGAAUAGAUAAUUGUACAUUACGAACAAGACAUUGAACAUCUCGAACAAUUGCUUAGGUUGUGAACAAAAGAAUAUAAACAUACCACUUAAUUCCUUAUAAAUCUGUUGCAGUCGAUUACAAAAAUAUAUCCUUUUCGUAUCCGUCCGGAACAAACUAGCCGAACGAUCAGUAGUCGUCGGCACGAGAUUAUCCUGGGCCUGUAUACUGUAACUGUUGAAGCAAUAACUUUUUUAAGAGAUGAUUAAAGUUCUGUCAUGUUAGACGGCCGCUCAGUACAGCAGAUGCCUGUGUCACGGCCCUGGCCACCCUGUAAAUCUCAUGUUGUACAGACUUCCAGGACUCUGAAGUGUUGCUGCUCCGAGCGCUGCCUAUGGCGUUGGCUAUACCGGGAUAAACUGCAGUAUCCCAGUCAUUCUGGUCUGAAGGUCCAUACACCUGAGUGGUAACACUCGCAGUUAGUAUAGGCCUUCCAGAGAGGAAAGCGAGUGAUUUGUGCAUGAGUAUCUGCUCACCAGAUGCUUACACCAUUCUUGUUUGAAGAUGCCCUCCCUGCUAGUGAAUGCUCGCUCGGCCUGCAUGAGCCGGUCAUUGAGCUGUCGGAUUUUCAGUGCAUCCUUGUUCAGCUGCUUGCUCAACAGUUGUUUUUGAAGUUCCUGAAUGUGGCCACAGUGCACAAAAACAAGUACGGUAGAUUUUAAGUUUUGCAUAAUCUGAGCAGCAAUUCUUAAGUGAGUACCUUUUGUUCAUUGUUCACUGUGGUAGCUGCUGUUUUGAGAGCUCUGAUUGAGUUGUACAGUGGGGAACAAGUAACAUCUGUUCCCUUAACUUUAUUCUCCAAUACCUUUGUGUAUGCCUGCCAUCAGAAACAAAAUUUAGUUCUGUCAUGUCUUCCCAGUGUCUGAGACUCUGAGUGGCUCUACUGGCCUACAGAUACAGUUGCAUUUAGUGGACACAGGGCCCGUCUUACCUGAAGCUCGAUUGCGUAGGACAUGUAAUUGAAGGGUAUGAUCUCAUCAUCGGCCAGCCUCAGAGCCAUCAUUCCCCAUAUGCUAGCAGCUGCAAACAUCUUGGUUACCACAUGGUGGCGCAGAUAGUGCCUCAACUAAUAUAACGGAGCAAUACAACGGAGCACAAAAGCAGGGGCAAUACAACGGAGCAGACCUGCAACAUGCCUACGGAACCCAGGAUCUCCGAAUUUUGCCAUCCACACGUAGUCAUCAUAUAAGGAGUGGUAAACCGGAUAUCCUGGUCCUGCAAACGCCAAAACACCCAGAAAGAUACAUGAAAAGACGAAAAUCGCCAGAAUAAACGAAUUCAUGAAGAGCAGGGGCCUUACCUUCUCCGAAAACUAUAUUCAUUGAAGGAAUACCAGCAUGUUGGACAAAGGCUAAGUAGUCUGAUCCUCCAUCGCCUAGUCUUAGAACCUUAAUGCAAGCGACCAGCAGUGCGAAGAGUAAGUGAUGUUAAAUAACUUGCCAAAAAGCCAGAAAGUUAUAACACUUGCAGUGCUUAAAAAACUCAAAGGUCUAUUUUGUGUUCAAGGAACUAGUAACCAGACAGUAAUACUUGGUGAUAACACACUAACCAGGUCCUCAGAAGAAUGUAUACUGUAGACUAUUGCAUAAGCAAGUUAUUGCAACUCACCCGGGGAGAACCAUUCGAUUUGAUCCAUGAAUCAUAUACAGUCUGAGAUGAAUUGUCAGGAUCUUGAACCUUCACAAAUUGAUAAAAAAACAGUUUUACCUUUUGGACAUUGUAAUAAGGAAAAUCCUAUAAACAUCAGAUUACCUCACAAGAAAAGACUACUGUUAAUUAAAAAAUGGUGAUCAAAAUAAAACAAAGUUCAAUAUGACUAUCAUAUUUUUCCUUUAUUUCUCCGGGGUAUUUUACUAUCUCUAGUUGCCUGUAUGAUGCACACACCACUUUAGUUAUUUCCUGAAGCAACUCGUCAAGUUGGGGAGUUGUAGACGGCAGGAAUCCUGGACCAACGACUGAAACGUCGAUAUUUAGAUAAGCAACAGCUCUUGAAGAUAGCAUCUCCCGGUUUUCUUCAACCCAUUCAGUCGACCCUGUCUGAGUAAAUGCAAUUUUUUUUUAUCAAUAUUGCCGUUUUAUUGUAAAUAUAUAAAAUGGACAAGAGCGGCUCAAACAAAGAAACAGACCAAUCCGUACUCUUCUGCAUCCCAACUACAGAAGAUAAUGGUUCUUCGAGGUCUCCAUCCUUGCUUUUGCAGCAUCGAGAACCUUUGAGCUAACUAGAGGGACAGAAGGUGGAAUAACAUGUCAAGAACCAGACAAGCAGCAGAUCUUGCUUCUUGUACAAUAGGUCAGGCACAGAAAACAUGAAAUGGGACUUUCAGCCACUUGCCCACUUGAGCUUACAGAGGACAUGGUUGGUACCCAUUCUAAGCCAAUCAGUAUUCUGACCCAGCAGGUCAACAAAUACAGAGCCUACUCAACUACAGCGAGGACAUCCUGUAAGCGAAAAUUACCUCAAUCAUUGCUGCAGUUCCGCUGUUGGGGUCAGAUGCUCCGAACGUCCAAGCAUCACGAUGGUUACCCAGAAUGACAUACCUGUACCACAAAAUGCAGUACUUUCUUCAGUAGCAUGCUUAGCAGAAAAGGACAUACGAUUCUGUGUGGUUUAACUUGUGACUACGCCAAUAUGCAGAUUGACACGUCUCUAAUCUCCACUUAAACUGUGAGGAUCCAUAGCUGAGUCUAAUUGUUUGCUUUCAAGAAGAGGGCUUCCAGUAAACAAAACGACGAGAAAAUUGUGCUUGGCUUUUUUUUAGUUAGUGGUUGUAAGCUAUUUCCCCGCCUGAAGGAAACAUUUCCAUAGCUAGUACAUUGCACCCAAGACCCAAAACCAAAAGUAAGCACUCCAAGUCCAAGCCACUUCAAACUUCUAUGAAGUUGGAAUGGUUAAUAAACUAGACAUUUGUCUUUUCCAACUUUUCCUAAGAAUAAUAUGGUUGCAGAUCCUUCCGAUCUUCAAAGUUGAGCUCGAUAGGAUAUUAUAGGUUCAGAAAAUUACCAAGCACAUCGUUAUGCAAUAAAAGCACAAGAAUCAAAUCCAUUGGUACUGUGCGCAACUUGUCAUGAUAUCAUACUUUUUUUAACUAAAAAAUUUCUUAUCUGACUCUCUAUCAUUGAACAUGGGCGUCCUCUACAGAGCUACCACUACCGCACUAAGUCCUAGAGUAAGUGUUUGGAUGCUAGUGACAAAUCCCGUCACAUCGGAUGUUUAGCCACUAAUUAGAAGUAUUAAAUAUAGGCCAAUGAUAAAACUAAUUGCAUAAACGAGGGCUAAUUCGCGAGACGAAUCUAUUAAGCCUAAUUAAUCCAUAAUUAGCACAUGUUUACUGUAGUAUCGCAUGGACUAAUUAGGCUUAAUCAUUAAUUAAUUAGCACAUCUCGUGAAUUAGCCCUCAUUUAUGCAACUAGUUUUAUCAUUAAACUAUAUUUAAUACUCCUAAUUAGUGUGCAAACAUCCAAUGUGACAGGGACUAAAGUUUAGUCAGGAUAUCCUCUUAUUACCCUGAAAAGGAAACUUCUUGCGGAAUGAUAGAUCCGUUUGUCUUGCUCUACCUCGCAAGGACUUAUCCAAACACCCCCUACCUAAGAGGGGUUAGUCAGGAACACCAAACACCCCCUAAGGCAGUUAGUCAGUCAGGAUAUCCAAACACCUCCUUAGGUGAAAAUAAAAUAUAUAGCUCUCCUCUCAUCAUCUUUAUCAUCUAGAAGGUCAAUGGAUGGUCCAAAAGUAGUGCAUUGAAAUGCACAAGGCAGAAAGUGAUGUGCAAUGCGAUGUCAAAUUUCACAAGGAGUAUGGCAGAAGCAUCAUGACAAAGAAGGAUCACUAAAGAAACAGAAUGAUGCAGCAUCACAUUCCAUGAAGAAUUUGUUACCUAUCCGGCUCUUCAGCGCCUUCGAUGAUGGCAAAGACAUUCUCGAUCGUUGCCAUUGUAUCAUUCCCCUGCAAAGUUUCACAACAAAAGCGUCACCGAAAGGCAACCAGCCGUAAAGCGAGACAACGCCGCCUCGAAAUGUCCAUACAAGAUACGUCAGGUUCAGAACCGCCGGCCCGGGGCCGAGGCGGUACACGGGGCCGUCCUCCCGGCCCUGCCACCCCGCCGGCGCCACGGCCCCGCCCAUCCCGGAGUGUAUCUCCAUCGCGUCACGCGCCGACACCGGCAGCGCCGGGAUGAGCGGCAUGUCGUCGGUGCCCAUGGCCUCCUCCACGCUGAGGCGCUCGCAGCCGUCGGACGACGGCCACAUCGGCGUCGUCGGGUCGCCGGCGCCGAGGAACAGGCUGCCCACCUGCACGCCGCUGGGCGGCAGCCACCGGGACUCCGGGAACGCCGCCUCCCCGGGGGCGCCGCCGUAGUGCAGCGGGUCCGUGUACACCACCGCGGCCGCGGCGCCCGCGGCGCGCGCGUUGUGCACGACUUCCUCGCAGUGGAUCCUCCCGUACCGCGCGAGCGCCACCUUGCCCGCGACGUCUACGCCGCGGGAGGCGAGGUAGGCGAAGUCCUCCUCGCGGCCGUAGUUGGCGUACACGGCCUCCGCGGAGACGGACCCGGACGCCGCGUACGCGUAGAACGUCGGGAUGGCCUCCGCCGACGCGGCCGCGUAGGGGUCGCCACGAUAGGUCUCCUGCUUCAGGGCGAAGGAGGUGGAGGCGCCGGCGCCGCGCCCCGGCGCUGAGAGGGAGAGGGAGCGGUGGACGGGGUAGGAGAGGAGGACGGAGUAGGGCGCGAUGUGGGCGGGGAAGGGGAGCGCGUCGCGCACGUAGCGGGCGGUGCGGGAGUUGGCCCUGGUCCCCGCGACGUGCGGGUGGAGGGUGAGCGAGCGGAGGUGCGCGGCGGCGGUGUCGUUGGAGCCGAGGGAGAGGAAGAGCGCGCCGUAGUUGGGGGACGGGUUGUGCGCGGGGGCGCGGCGGAGCGCGAGGAAGAGGAGCAGCGCGAGGGAGGCGCCGAGGACGGCGAGCGUGGAGGACAGGAGGUAGAGGAAGCGGCCGCGAUGGUGGGGCUUGCCCCGCGGCGGCGAGGGGGCUAGGAGCGACGCUGCGUCGAGGCGGGACAGCAUGGCGCGGCGCGGGAGGUCGAGGGAGUGCGGGUGCACGGCCUCUGGUGGCGGCUUGGCGGGGAGAGCAGAAGGCAGAGCGGGGGUUUAAGCGGCGGGUGCGGGUCCCUCUCCCCAUCCUCGGACGACGCCACGACGGACAUGGACCGUUUGAUGGGAGGCGGUCUUGUAGCGCCUGAUAAGGCCACGCCACACUGGGGUUGGAUGGAUCAAGAAUUCAAGAUCAAUGUGUGGAUGGAGCGCUCUCUCCGGCGAGGCGGGCAUCGGCGUUGUCACAAGAGGCGAUGUUGGCAGAGUGAUUCUUUUCGUGCUAGUGCUCAGGAGUUGGAGGCCCUAGCAUGCACGAACUUCACGAGAAAAGAGAGAACCUCAUCGAUCACUCAACAUGAUCGUUACUAUCUUGAGCAACCAAUAGCUCAAUGCAACGGGAACUUUGCUAAUGCCAGCGGCUAGUUUGGUAGUGUGGUUUUGUUGCCAGUUGAGCGAGCUCUCGCGGGGCAGCACUAUUUUGUUCUCUUCCGGCAAACAACUACAUAGACUUCUAAUUUCUUUCUCCGACGGCGAAGCACAAAGGUUUUUUUUUGUUGAGUAACGGCGAAGCACAAAGUUAGCGCUCAUGCUUCAGACAGCUUGUGUCACAGUGGGCACGGACGGAUUCAACAAUGGCCUUGUCUCGUUUCCUCCCUGCUAAGUUCCUUCUCAGGCAUAUCAGAAAAGUUUUGUGCUCCAAAUUUCGGGAGAAAGGUUUGUCCAAAAUUUUCUUAGUUGCUCAAGUUAGAAAUAUAAGUUCAUCAAGGUUUAAUAUGAGUCAAAUAUUUUUAAUAAUCCUUUGUAUCUGAAUUUUAUAUACUCCUAGGCUGGUAACCCAAAAUUGACAUUACUAGAUUUGUUUUGACCACCGCUUUCUAAUAAUAUAGGCCUCUUUUCAUCUAAGCUAGGACUAAGAUGAUUUAUCCUUAUAGAUACUGAUAACCAAAUUUUUUUAAAAAAUUUUGACUUAGCAGAAAACUAGUAAAAAAUCUAUUUUCCAUAAUUUGCAACUCCAGAUUGAAUGUUUGGUAUCGCUGCUUGGAUGAUCACUCGUUAUAAAUAAAUCAGAUUGUUAAGCACAUAGAUGUAAUACAGUUAUACGUAAUUGAUUGUAUGUAAAGCAUCUUCUUGAAAUAUCAACAUACACGCUGACCAAGGCCGUCAUCGCCAUCUAUAUGCUGUCGUUUUUCUUAGGGAAAAAAAGCAUGUAAUAUGAUAGCGGUUGCAUUGGACACGCCGAUGGCCAUCAAAAUUAGUCAGAGUAUAUUUGUUUCUCGAGCUAAAGUUUAGUCCAUAUCACAUCGAAUAUUCGGAGGGCUAAUUAGGAGAAUUAAAUAUGAGUUAAUUAUAAAACUAAUUGUACUGGAGGUUAAACGGCGAGGUGAAUCUAUUAAGCCUAAUUAAUCCAUCAUUAAUAAAUGGUUACCGUAGAAGCACAUUGUCAAAUUAUGGAUUAAUUAAACUUAAUAGAUUCAUCUCGUCAUUUAGCCUCCAUCUGUGUAAUGGGUUUUGUAAAUAGUCUACAUUUAAUAUUUCUAAUUAGUAUCUAAAUAUUCGAUGUGACGGAUGCUAAAAAUAAUACCCGAAACAGACACAGAGUCGAAUAGUCGAUCCCCCCGUUCUCCUCUCUUUAUCACGUCAUUCCGUUCCGUACGAUAGCGGUUGGGCGUACGUGCCCACAUGGUUUUGUUUUCAUAGAAAAAAUCUUCUAUACGAAUCAGAAGUAAACCCAAAUGUUUGGAAUCAAUCUUGGGUGUGCACUAUGCAGCUCUCGUCCAAACUCCGGGCCCAUCCUUUAAUAGUGUCGUGUCGACACUAUGUGAUCAUCUGUCUCUGUGUUUGAGGGUGUUCCGAAAGGGAUGAGUACCCGAAACUUUUGGAUGUGACACCGAAAGGGACACUCGACACUCGUGGUCCGUGGAAUAAACAAUCUGGAGUUCCAGGUCUCUUGCAGAUGCAGAGCAGUUACCCAUAUCAGUACACGCAAAAACUGUACGGUGCGAGUAAAAACAUUGACAUCCUGAGCCCUGAUGGCCUGAUGUAACGCAAGGCUUCGGCGGCCGGCCGGCCGGCAACGGAUGACCAGCGCGAUGCUGACGUCCUGCGGUUCAUCAUGCCGUCCAUGCGUCCACACAUGACCUGGAAAAUCGUGUUGAGCAUGGAAGUACAAGACCCCGGUUUGUUUGAUGUCUUCUUUCGCGAGUUGCUGAGGCGGAAAACGAUGGUCUUUUUUAAGCCAGGCGUGCGGUCACGUGCUACGUAAAAUACAGAUCGGCAAGCUGCAACAGACAGCGAUAACGAAAAUAUGAAACAGAAACAAGGACAGAUCGGCGAGCUAGGCGUGUUUGAUAGCAGGUGCUAAACUUUAAACGUGUUACAUCGAAAGUUCGUUUUAUAAAUUAACCUCCCAUCUGUGCAAUUAAUUUUAUAAUUAAUUAUAUUUAAUACUUCUAAUUAGUAUCUAAAUAUUCGAUAUCAUUUAUUUUUUAAGAGCUUCUAAAGAACCAAACGGGGUCUAACUGCAGAAUAUUCUGUGUAAUACCUGUUCAGACAACCAGCGACAGAUAUACAGGGUGCAGGACACACGAGUGGCGCUCUCCAAAAUUAGGCCAUGUUUAGUACUUCCAACUUUGACACUAUGCAAAAAGAAUGCAAAAGGAAGAUUCCCCAUCACAUCAAACUUGCGGUACAUGCAUGGAGUACUAAAUGUAGACGAAAUUAAAAACUAAUUGCACAGUUUUGUUGUACUUUGCGAGACGAAUCUUUUGAGCCUAAUUAGUCAAUAUUUGGACAAUAAUUCACAAAUACAAACGAAACGCUACAGUGUGCUACAGUGCUAGCACAGUAAUUUUGCACGAGCAGGUGUGUUGCCUUCACGGAAUCUUUUGCGUGCACUCCUGCAGCUUCAAGAAUUCUAAACGGACGGCGACCCUCCACCAACCCUGUCCUGUGUUGCCGUUCCUGCCAAUGAGCCCUGAGAUCCCAGAACUUGUGAACAUGUUCUCGUUGGUCCCAUGCCGCUGACAUGGUCUAAACCGGUCCGACACAAUGCCAAUCAGCUCACCUCCAUCAAGAUAUUUACAGGUGGAUUCUUUCGCACUGCUUAAUUUGGUGCGGCUGCAGUACACCAUGAUAGCGAAAGCAAAGGACAAUCACACAACUCCAAAGAAGCUGAUUGGUGUUGCUUUCAGGAGAAUCACCAUGAGAGAUGAAUCACUAUUCUUAUUCAGUGUGACUGUGAAUCCAGCAUAUUUCUUCUGUAUCUAAACAUAAUUACCCAAUUAUACAUCUGACUCGCUUCCAAGCCUUUUUUUUCAAAAAAAAAAAGUAAAAUAAAAGCUGAAGCUACCCAGUACUUUGAUCUAUAUAGAAUGGAAGCUGCAGCACAUAUCAUGUUAGUCCACCAUCCAGGACUGCAGAAGCCUUGGACACGGCCCUUGCAACUCUGUAAAUCUCAUGCUGCAGCGACCGCCAGGAUUCGGUCGUGUUGGACUUCUUGGCCUUGUCCAUGGCCGAGACGAUAUCAGGGAACGCUUUGGUGCCCCAGUCAUCCUGAUCCGAUGACGCAUAGAUCUGUCGAAUGGAAAAGAUGAAAUGUUUUGUCACUGUGUCAACUUCAGAUUUCACAUUGCGAGCCUGGAGCUCUGAUAGGCUGAUGCUCUGUGACUCACCAUAUGCUUGUACCAUGGUCUGCCCGCGAGUCCCUCUCGGUUGGUGAAGGCUCGCUCGGCCAUCAUCAACCGGUCAUUCAUCUCCCUGACUUUCAGUGUGUACUGUCUCGUCUUUAGGCUCCAGUUUUCUGCUUGUAGCAACUACAUAGUACAAAGAGAUGAGGUGUUUUAAUUGAAAGUGUUUCAGUGGAAGUUACACAUCCGAGUACCAUACACCGUUAGGUGAGGUCUUACCAUCUUCUCUUUGUGAAUUUUGGUGGCUGCCCUCUCAAGCUGCUUGAUGGACUUCUGCAAAGGAGAGAAACUGACAGGAAAUCCUUUACAUUUAUCUACGAUGUCUUUUGUGCAUUCCUGCAGUUAAAAAGAUGACAGAAAAUUGUUUCAUGCCUCAAGCAUCCAUAAGCACAAGUUUACCAAUAAAAAGGAAGCGAAUUGUGUGUCCCAAAUGUGAAUAAGUGGUACCUCCAGUUCGGAUGCAUAAGAGACAUAAUUGAAGGGUAUGAUCUCAUCGUCAGCAAGUUUCAGAGCAAUCAGACCCCAAACGCUGGCCACUGCAUGAUUGAUGCAAGGAAAAAUGGUUUGCCGGUGCUUGGGGGAUAAACUAGAAAGCUUUUGAAAAGAAAAGAUGGCUCAGUACCUGCGACAUGCCUGUGGAACAAGGGAUCUCCGAACCUCUCCACCCAAACAUAAUCAUCAUACAACGAGUGGUAAACAGGGUAUUCUUUGACUGCAAGAGCAAUAAUGUUACAUCAAAUGCUAGAUGAGCAAUGAUAGCUAUUAAUAAUGCAAAGCCUUUAUUUUGCAAUUACGCAGAGCCAUGCUUCAGAUACAGUUUCACUUACUCGUUCCAUAAGACAUGUCAAGUGAUGGGACCCCAAUAUGUUGGAGAAAUGCUGCAAAAUCAGUUCCAGCACCAGCCACUCUAGUUAUCUGAAAAAAAAAGGGGGGUGGGGGGGGGAACCUAACAGUUCAGCACAUGGCAACAGGAGGCCUUGUCCAGUGGAAUUUUGCUCUUUUCAUCACUCAUUUGGACCAUAACAGAGUCGUAGGACAUUUUAACGCCGAACUUACCGGUGGAUGAUGGCUCAUCAUGGUGUCAUACAAGGUUUGAGAUGGCUCAUCAGGAUCAGGUACCUUCAAACAAAGAAAUAAUGAAAAGGUAUAUCCGGUAGCUCCGUAGCAUAGUGAUGUGUACAAAGCAGGACAGCCUGAAUACCAUUUUACUCGCUUCUUUGAUCAACUCAUCAAGUUGAGGGGUUGCGCGGGGACGAAGACCCCCAGGACCAAACACUGAUAUGUCCACGUUCAGGUAAGCAAUAGCUCUGGAAGCUAGAGUGUCCAUGUUCUCCUCGGCCCAUUCAGUAGAGCCGAUCUGAGACAGUGUACAGAUCGCAUUAAUGAUUGUUCAUCUGGGCAUGUGAGCAGAAAAGGAUAUGUGAAUUAGUGAGCAAAAAGGUACCAGAGCAAACUCCUCAGCGUCCCAACUGCACAGGAUUAUUGUUCGUCGAGGCCUCCACCCUUUCGCUUGUAGCUUGGACAGCCUCCCUGCGAUCUAUACACAGUGGGAGGGAACCGGAUGCCUUCAGAAUUUGUUCUUUGAAGAACGAGAUAAUGGCUCACUAGUUUUGCAAAUGCACAGUGGAGAAUUUCCCCAAAUUGUCUAGGAUGUCAUCGAAAUUGCCCCGGAUGCUUGAUAACAUACUAUGCACGAACAAUUACCUCAAGCAUGGCUGCUGUUCCACUGUUAGGAUCAACUGCUCCAAAUGUCCAUGCAUCACGAUGGUUGCCUAUGAUCACAUAUCUGCACACACAUCAAGCAAUAGUUAAUUGUCAAGUUUCAAGAUGCCCAUGCGCCACGAUGGCUGGGAUAUAAAACUGUGGCAAAUAUAUAAAAAAAAACCCAAGGAACCAUGAACUUGGUCAAACAAAUAUGCAGAGUACAAAAUACUACUCUGCCUGGAGUACAAGAGCUCAUAAAUGUCCUUUCUAGAAUACUGAUAAGCCUGCAUCCGGCAUGCGCCUAGCGCAGCACUGGGAACUCCCAAUUGUAGCCUGCUGCAGUUGCCCAAAAUUUUGCAAAAUGUGUACAAUUUAGGAGGGAUUAGUUACCUGUCAGGCUCUUCUUUCCCUUGGAUCACCGCAAACACAUUCUCGAUUGUUGCUAAGGUUUCGUUUCCCUGCAAAUAGUAGUCAAAAAAAUGGUCAGCAAAUUCCACUUGAAUUCAGAGGACAGUGCCCAGCAGAUAAUGGUUGCGCUGGGCUCCACUGAUCCACUCACAAUGUAGGUGAGAUUCAACACGGCCGGACCGGGACCGAGCCGGUACACAGGAGCGCCCUCGCCGCCCUGCCACUUCGGCGGCGCCACGUCGCCGCCCAUCGCCUUCAGGAUCGUCUCCCCGUCCCUGGCCGACACCGGCAGCGCCGGGAUGCCGGGCAUCGCCGCGCUCCCGGCCAGGUCCUCCGCGCUCAGCCGCUCGCAGUCUUCCCCCGCCGCGCACGACGGCCACAGCGGCGUGGUCGGGUCGCCGUUCAUGUAGUACAGGGUCCCCACCUGCACGCCGGUCGGCGGAAGCCACCGCGCGUCGGGGAACCACCUCCGCUUCUCUCCCUUGCCGGCGCCGCCGCCGUAGUCCUUGGCGUCGGUGUACACGAUCGCAGCCGCGGCGCCCGCGGCGCGCGCGUUCCGCACCAUGUCCUCGCAGUGGAUGUCGCCGUAGCGCGCGAGCGCGACCUUGCCCGCGACGUCGACGCCGCGGGAGGCGAGGUAGGCGUAGUCCUCGCUGUGGCCGUAGUUGGCGUAGACGACCUCGGCGGCGACCGAGCCGGACGCCGAGUAGGCGAAGUAUGUCGAGAUGACCUCCGCCGCGGCCUCGGCGUACGGGUCGCCCUUGUAGGUCUCCUGCACCAGGGAGAACGGCUUGGCGGCGAGACCCCGCGACGGGGUGAGGGUGAGGGAGCGGUGGACGGGGUACGAGAGGAGCACCGAGUAAGGGGUGAUGUGCGCGGGGAAGGAGAGGGAGGAGAACGCGUGGAGCACGUAGCGGGCCGCGGCCGCGUUGGCCUCGGUGCCCGCGACGUGGGGGCGGAGGGUGAGCGCGCGGAGGUGGGCGGCAGCGGUGGCGUUGGAACCGAGGGAGAGGAAGAGCGCGUGGUAGCGCGACGGAUUGGUCGGCGCGAGGAGGUGGUAGGACGCCACCAGAGCUGCCGUGACGGCGAGAAACGCGACGAACCUGCGCCUCCCGGCUGCGCCACCGCCGCCGUCGGCGGCAGGUGUGGGAGAGUGGAGGAGUGGCUGGCUCUGUUUGCCGCCGCGAGACGUGGCCAUGGCGCGCGACACCGGGGAGGUGGGAACUGGCCGGUGAGCGGCCAGUCACUGGGAAGUGAUUGCUAUAAAACGGGGCUCUGAAGUCUGAACUUCCGAAGUGGAUCUUCUGUUCUGUUCGUCUAUGUGCAGAGAGCACCUCCAGUCGGAACUUCCGAAUUGUAGCCCCACGCUCACGUGCACAGUUUUUUGUUUUUGUUUUUGCGAAUAAGUGUGCAGGUUUAUAAUCACACGCAUAAAAGAUAAAUGCUACUCAUCCAUCCCAAAUUAUCCAUCCCAAAUUAUAAGUCAUUUCAAAAAUCUUGGAGAGUCAAAGUAUCUCAAGUUUGACCAAAUUUAUAUGAUAAUAUAAUAACAUUUAUGAUGUCAUCUAAGGGCCUGUUUGGGAGUAGGGGCUAAAAUUUAGCCUUGAGCUAAAGUUUAGCCCACUCAAAAAAAAGAGGCUAAAAUUUAGCACCCAUGGGUGUUUGGAUGGGAGGCUAAAAUUUAGCACCUAAUAGUGAAAAUGACUACCAUACCCCUGCUUUUGUCCUCCCGCCCGCGCGCGCUGCCCCUCCCGCCCGCGCGCAUGCAUGCGCUGGCCCCACUCGCUGGCGCCCCUUGCAUGCAUGCAUGCUGCGCUGGCUCCACUCGCUGGCGCCCCUUGCUAUGCAUGCGUGCUGCGCUGGCUCCACUCGCUGGCGCUGCUUGCAUGCAUGCGUGCAUAGCGGUGCGGUGCUGUGCCGUGCCCUCCGUUCUCCUCCUUGCACUGCAUGCAUGCAAAGCGCUAUGCCUUUCUUCUUGUUUCUUCUCCACUCUCUUCUUCUCUUUCUCUUUCACUCUCUUCUUCUCUUUCUCUUUCAGUCAUACACCAGUGCAUAAGAAGGGAAUUUUAUGUCUAUUACAAUGUCCAACAACUCCAAAAUUAAACUACAAAUACAUUAUCAUUACAACAUUGAAAUCAAUUUAUCUAGACCUAUUGUACAAGGCAUGAGCUAUUUCAUCUCGAAAUGCAUUCAUGUUGCUAUCUUCUUCUUCUACUUGGGUACUUGUCUCACCUCCUCCGCGGUUUGAAGUUCCGGGCAUUGGGACACCAUUUUCAUCACAAUCGUACAAAUCAAAUUCCCUAUCGGCAACACUAUUCUCUCGGAUAAAAUUGUGAAUUGCCAUGCAAGCCACAAUAAUUUUGCUUUGCUUGUGCAUUGGAAAACUUGGUAUACCCAUCAGUAUCCUCCACUUCAUCUUCAAAACUCCGAAUGACCUCUCGAUAACAUUUCUAAGGGAUGAAUGUGCAUAAUUAAAGGUCUCUUGCAUACCUCUGGGCAUUGGACCAUUACGAAACUCCGGUAGAUGGUACUUCGUACCCUUGUAAGGUGAUAGGUAACCGGGACGGUUUGGAUACCCCGAAUCAACAAGGUAAAACUUGCCUACAAACAAAAGGCAAACUUGUUAGGUAAAAACAAACUAGAGAACAUAUAGGCAAAAAAAACUAUCAUAUAGAAACAGUGUACCUGUAGGAGGAUGUGGAAACUUGUCACCGUAUUUUUCUAUGACAUCACUGAACACUCUCAUAUCAUGGACCGAUCCUGGCCAUCCACUAACAACAAAUGUAAACCUCAUGUCGAAGUCACAAAUAGCUAACACAUUCUGUGAGGUAUACCCGUGCCUGUUUGUAUAUUGCAUGACCUUUUCACUUGGCACCACGACUGGAACGUGUGUCCCAUCAAUAGCUCCAAUACAGUUGUUGAAAUACGGAGCAAACCGAGGGUUGAGUAAUCUCUUGUGCACCGUCUUAAAUUCAGGGUCCUGUGGCCUAAUAUUAUGUACUGCUAGCUUAAGAACAGUGCCUAACACUUUGUCGAACGUACGGCUUAUUGUCUCCAACGACCUCACAAAUCGAUCCUCAACUUGCCUAAGUGACUGCGGUGCACCUAAUAUCCAUAGGAACAUUCCUAAGGCCUCCACUGUUGACAUAUCUCGAGUGGCUCUCAAACCAUAUGAGUCAACUAAUAGAUCAUGAAGUUGAUUAAAUAAUGGGCAACUCAUCCUAAACAUGUUAUAACAAGAGGUCGGAUUUGAUAAUGUUUCUGUUACCCAUUCAAUGCCCGUCACUGAUGCAACCCUCCUUGGAGCUUUGUGUAUGUAAGAUUCGUAGUACAUACCGAGUGUUAACAUCAUUUGGACGANNNNNNNNNNNNNNNNNNNNNNNNNNNNNNNNNNNNNNNNNNNNNNNNNNNNNNNNNNNNNNNNNNNNNNNNNNNNNNNNNNNNNNNNNNNNNNNNNNNNNNNNNNNNNNNNNNNNNNNNNNNNNNNNNNNNNNNNNNNNNNNNNNNNNNNNNNNNNNNNNNNNNNNNNNNNNNNNNNNNNNNNNNNNNNNNNNNNNNNNNNNNNNNNNNNNNNNNNNNNNNNNNNNNNNNNNNNNNNNNNNNNNNNNNNNNNNNNNNNNNNNNNNNNNNNNNNNNNNNNNNNNNNNNNNNNNNNNNNNNNNNNNNNNNNNNNNNNNNNNNNNNNNNNNNNNNNNNNNNNNNNNNNNNNNNNNNNNNNNNNNNNNNNNNNNNNNNNNNNNNNNNNNNNNNNNNNNNNNNNNNNNNNNNNNNNNNNNNNNNNNNNNNNNNNNNNNNNNNNNNNNNNNNNNNNNNNNNNNNNNNNNNNNNNNNNNNNNNNNNNNNNNNNNNNNNNNNNNNNNNNNNNNNNNNNNNNNNNNNNNNNNNNNNNNNNNNNNNNNNNNNNNNNNNNNNNNNNNNNNNNNNNNNNNNNNNNNNNNNNNNNNNNNNNNNNNNNNNNNNNNNNNNNNNNNNNNNNNNNNNNNNNNNNNNNNNNNNNNNNNNNNNNNNNNNNNNNNNNNNNNNNNNNNNNNNNNNNNNNNNNNNNNNNNNNNNNNNNNNNNNNNNNNNNNNNNNNNNNNNNNNNNNNNNNNNNNNNNNNNNNNNNNNNNNNNNNNNNNNNNNNNNNNNNNNNNNNNNNNNNNNNNNNNNNNNNNNNNNNNNNNNNNNNNNNNNNNNNNNNNNNNNNNNNNNNNNNNNNNNNNNNNNNNNNNNNNNNNNNNNNNNNNNNNNNNNNNNNNNNNNNNNNNNNNNNNNNNNNNNNNNNNNNNNNNNNNNNNNNNNNNNNNNNNNNNNNNNNNNNNNNNNNNNNNNNNNNNNNNNNNNNNNNNNNNNNNNNNNNNNNNNNNNNNNNNNNNNNNNNNNNNNNNNNNNNNNNNNNNNNNNNNNNNNNNNNNNNNNNNNNNNNNNNNNNNNNNNNNNNNNNNNNNNNNNNNNNNNNNNNNNNNNNNNNNNNNNNNNNNNNNNNNNNNNNNNNNNNNNNNNNNNNNNNNNNNNNNNNNNNNNNNNNNNNNNNNNNNNNNNNNNNNNNNNNNNNNNNNNNNNNNNNNNNNNNNNNNNNNNNNNNNNNNNNNNNNNNNNNNNNNNNNNNNNNNNNNNNNNNNNNNNNNNNNNNNNNNNNNNNNNNNNNNNNNNNNNNNNNNNNNNNNNNNNNNNNNNNNNNNNNNNNNNNNNNNNNNNNNNNNNNNNNNNNNNNNNNNNNNNNNNNNNNNNNNNNNNNNNNNNNNNNNNNNNNNNNNNNNNNNNNNNNNNNNNNNNNNNNNNNNNNNNNNNNNNNNNNNNNNNNNNNNNNNNNNNNNNNNNNNNNNNNNNNNNNNNNNNNNNNNNNNNNNNNNNNNNNNNNNNNNNNNNNNNNNNNNNNNNNNNNNNNNNNNNNNNNNNNNNNNNNNNNNNNNNNNNNNNNNNNNNNNNNNNNNNNNNNNNNNNNNNNNNNNNNNNNNNNNNNNNNNNNNNNNNNNNNNNNNNNNNNNNNNNNNNNNNNNNNNNNNNNNNNNNNNNNNNNNNNNNNNNNNNNNNNNNNNNNNNNNNNNNNNNNNNNNNNNNNNNNNNNNNNNNNNNNNNNNNNNNNNNNNNNNNNNNNNNNNNNNNNNNNNNNNNNNNNNNNNNNNNNNNNNNNNNNNNNNNNNNNNNNNNNNNNNNNNNNNNNNNNNNNNNNNNNNNNNNNNNNNNNNNNNNNNNNNNNNNNNNNNNNNNNNNNNNNNNNNNNNNNNNNNNNNNNNNNNNNNNNNNNNNNNNNNNNNNNNNNNNNNNNNNNNNNNNNNNNNNNNNNNNNNNNNNNNNNNNNNNNNNNNNNNNNNNNNNNNNNNNNNNNNNNNNNNNNNNNNNNNNNNNNNNNNNNNNNNNNNNNNNNNNNNNNNNNNNNNNNNNNNNNNNNNNNNNNNNNNNNNNNNNNNNNNNNNNNNNNNNNNNNNNNNNNNNNNNNNNNNNNNNNNNNNNNNNNNNNNNNNNNNNNNNNNNNNNNNNNNNNNNNNNNNNNNNNNNNNNNNNNNNNNNNNNNNNNNNNNNNNNNNNNNNNNNNNNNNNNNNNNNNNNNNNNNNNNNNNNNNNNAAAGGAAGGCGGCGUGGUGGGGAGGAAAAAGGAGGGCGACAAAGGGGGCGCGGCGGAGGGAGCGGCGACGGGGCGGCGGAGUCGCGUCGGCGGAUGGAGCGGCGUAGGAAGCGGCGGAGGAACCGGCGUAGGGAGCGACGGAGGGAGAGGCGAGGGGGGGGCGCUGCGGAUGGAUGCGGAGGAGGAGGCGCGGCGGAGGGGCGCGGAGGAGUGAGUGAGGCGGAGGGCGCGGCGGAGGGGCGGCGGAGGCGCAGCGGCAGAGGGGCGGCGGAGGCGCGUCGCCGGAGGGAGCGGCGGAUCGGGCACGGCGGAGGGAGCGGAGGAGGGGGCGAGAUCCAGACGGGAGGGAAGGGAGUGGCGGCGCGUGUGCGGGAGUGGGAGGAGACAGGAUGGGGAAGGGAGUAUCAUUAGAUUCUUC
rnacentral:lncRNA from 1 species